CGAAAUUGAUUUAACCAAAUUGGGCGUCCCUCUUCAGACACUAGAUUCUGGGUCCAGAAUAGUCUUCACAACUCGUUUUGAGGGUACUUGUGGUAAAAUGGGAGCCCAUAAGAAUCGGUACAAAGUGUUUUGUUUGGGAGAUGAGGAUGCCUGGAAAUUAUUUGAGGGGGUGGUCGGGAGAUACGUUCUUAACAAGCAUCCCGACAUUCCGAAGUUAGCUGAGGAUGUGGCACGUCAGUGUCAUGGUUUGCCGCUAGCACUCAAAACAGUAGGUAAUGCCAUGGCGAGCAAAGAGUACCCUGAAGAAUGGAAAGAAGCAAUUGAGAUCCUAAGCGAAUCAGCUUCUAAAUUCGAAGGUAUGGAGAAAAAGGUGCUUUCGAGCUUAAAGUUCAGCUAUGACAGUUUGCCGAAAGAUGAACUUCGAUCUUGUCUCCUGUACUAUUGUUUAUUUCCCGAAGACUCUGAAAUUGAAAAAACCGAGUUGAUAGAGUAUUGGAAAAGUGAAGGAUUUGUGGAUUCCAGCAGCGGGUGGGGGGUUCUUGGUGCUCUCGUUCGGGCAUGCUUAUUGGAGGAAGCAGGUGAUCGUGUAAAAAUGCACGAUAUGAUCCGUGACAUGGCAUUAUGGAUAGCAAAUGAAGUAGAGGAGGAGGAGGAGAACUUUUUGGUUCGUGCAGGAGUUGGAUUAACUGACGCCCCAAAGAUUGAAGAAUGGGAAGGGAUCAAAAGGAUAUCCUUGAUGAGGAACAAAAUUCGAAGUCUACCACAAAUUCCCACUUGUCCGCGUCUGCAAACAUUGCUUCUGGCGAGUAAUCGUAUUAAGGAGAUCACUGAGAGUUUCUUUCAAUCUUUGCCUUUGCUUAGAGUUUUGAAUCUAAGUGAAAAUCAUUACCUAACUGAACUACCUGUAGGGAUUUCAAGAUUGGUUUCAUUACACCAUCUUGAUCUGUCUUUUACUGAAGUGCGUGGGUUGCCGCAAGAGCUCAAGGCAUUGGUGAAUCUGAGAUAUUUGAACUUGGAGUAUACAAGUGAAAUGUCUAGAAUUCCAGAGCAAUUAAUAUCAAGCUUUUCGAAGUUACAGGUACUCAGGAUGCUGUAUUGCGGUCCACGUCUCCAGCCAAUAGUGGAAGAAGGCAACGUUCUAUCUGCUGAUGCUGAAUCAUUGAUGAAGGAAAUCCACUGUUUGGAACAAUUAAAUCUCAUCACCUUGUCCUUACAUGGUUCGCGUGGUGUUGAAAACUUUCUGAAAUUCCCAAAGCUGCAGAAUAUCACUCAAGCUCUGCACAUCGAAGACUGCAACAGUCUACCGCUCAAUUUGUUGCAUCUAGCAAACAUGGAGCAUCUUGAGAAGUUAUUUAUCGAGGAUAGUAAUUUGGAAGACUGGAAUGUCGACUGCGCGGGAGAGGUACAAAAAAUGCGUAAACUUCACUUUGUUUCAAUAUACGAAUGCUCAAAUGUGAAGGACUUAACGUGGCUUGUUUUUGUUCCAAAUCUCAAGUGGCUGCGAAUAUUUGAUUGUGAUGACAUGGAAGAAAUAAUCAGUGUUGAAAAUUUUGAAAAAUUGAGUGAAGUUUCAGAGAUGAUGGGAGAGCUUAACUUGUUCUCGGAACUCGAAUCUCUGAAUCUAGGAUAUGCAAGUAAUUUGAAGCGCAUCUACCGCGAUCCCUUGCCCUUUCCACAGCUGGAGCAAAUUUACAUAUCGAAAUGCCCAAAGUUGAAGAAGCUCCCGCUCAAUUCCAGCAGCGCAAAGGGACGUAAAAUUGUCAUUUACGGGGAGAAAGAAUGGUGGGAAGAGCUACAAUGGGAGGAUCAAGCCACUCAAAGUGCUUUCUCUCCCUGUUUGGCUGUUUCGUGCCUUCAUGAAUAAUAAAGUGCAAUAAGGCGCAAAAGUGUGAAUAAAGUUUCUGCGUGUGCUUAAUGAUUAUCUUGUCUAUCCAUUUCAUUUAAUUUAAAAGCUUUCUACGGUGUUGCGUGUGUGUCACUUGUCAUUCUUCUGCACUGCUGUUUCCUAUUUCCAGUUAAUAAAAUUUUUUUGUUCUUAGAAAUGCUUUGCUGGUAAUAUAUUCUAUUUACUUUCCUCCUAUUUUCAUUACAGCUAAUAAUUGCAUAGUUGUAUAAUUUUUUAAUAUUAUCUUUAUUUUUAAAUAUACUUUUAUUUAUAUUUAUUAUAAAUUAAAUAAAUGUAUGAAUAGAAAUUAAAAUGAAAACUAAGUAUUAAAACAAGAAAUAUAUAUUUUGAUUUGAAUAAAAAUAUAAAUAUUUGUUUGUACUUUUUUAUAUAUAUAUUCAAUAUAAGAAAAUAUUUAUAAAAUAAAAAGUGUAAGAAAAAUAUCUUAUUAUUAAUUCUUAUUCACAUCAAAACAUAUAUUUCUUACUUUAAAUACUUAAUUUUUUAUUCAAAUUAUCAUUCAUAUGAUUUAUUUAAUUUAUAAUACAUAUAAAUAAAAAUAAUAUUGUAAAUUAUGUUGUUAGAAAUUAUUAGUUAUUAUAAAAAUAAUAUGGGACAAAUGGUAAAUCGGAGAUAUUGUUUCCUAUUUUCAGCUAAAAAAUUUAUUUGUUCUAAUAAUUGCUUUGCUAGUAAUAAGGCCUGCAAGUUGCUUAACUGAAUAUGACUUCUUUUUUAAAAAUGUUACUAUCAAUUUCGAUGAUUGAUUAUCUCGAAGUAGUGAAAUUUAUGUAAUGUUGGUAUUAAAAAAAUUUGUGCUACUGAUAAAAAAAGUCCAUUGGAUUCGGCCUAAAUGACGGAUCGUGGCUUGAUUUUCUCAUCCCAAAGGCUCUGUAUCUCACUUUCGAAAGUAGUUUUAGCAUAAUGUAGGUGAAAAAUUAAAAUAUUCUGCGAUCUCUAUAUAGCUUUUCCAACAGAUUUCACCCAUUUGACUGUAGACCAAAGCAUCCAUUGGAUCGAUGCAUUUAUUAAGAAGAGGAUCAUUCGGAGCUACAAUUGGAGGAUCGAGUCACGCAAAGAGUUUUCUCUACUUGUUUCGAUCCUAUGGAGAUAGAGUUUUCAUAGAUUGAUGGUAGGAGCUUUUUUGUCAAUUUAUGUAUCUAAUUGUGUGUAACAUGCUUUCUUGUCUUUCAUAUCAGACAUUGUAAAUUUGUAAUGUUGCCAUUUUCUUUUUCCUAUCAAGAAAGAAAGAGCAUUGCGAGUAGUCUUUCCAAUUUUCACUCCUUUUUGGUAUGUGAAGAAAAAUAAUAAAGCAAAACAAACUAGUGUUGAAGAAAAAGAAAAUGACAAGUUCAAUAGGGCAAAAGUUCACCAUCCCUUUACCAUUUGCUCAAGCAAGUAAGCUUUACGUUUACUUCUUGAGAUUUGAACUAACCAGACAACUUGUAAUGUUACCAUAAAGUUCAAAGAUUAGAAGAGAAAAACUUAUGUCUGUUAGGCACUAUUAUUCAGGCUUAAAUAAUAACAAUAAAAUACUACACCAUGUCUGCUCUCUUUUACUUUUCUUGGUUCUGUUGUAAAAUUCAGUUCUAUUUGAAGGAAAUUAUUAACAUCAAAACUAAAUACUUCGUGAGCAUCUACUGACAACAUACUCCAGAUGACACCAUAACCAUAUCAUAUAAAGCAAGAAAUGUGAAAUAAAUACAAAAUGAAUCAUAGGAGGGAAUUACCACACUCUGCGGUCUCUCCUGCUAAACCCUGCAGUUAGAAUGCCAUUUGUCGUGAGCACCUGAAUCCCCAAAGGACUCCCAGCUUCAAGUGGCUUUGACUUAGCUUGCUUUAGCUCCAUUGCACAUACUCACUCACAUGAAGGAAAUGAACAGAACAAGAAACCUCAUCAUGCCGAAUAUGAUAGAUAUGACAAGGCAUUACACUGUAGGAAGCUCCCGAUUUCUCUACAAAACUCUGCAGGUUCUCCACAAUCAAGGCGUGCUCCAUCUUUAACAGAUCACUUCUACCAUUAAGAGAAGGAAGAGAGUUCCUCUCGUGUGGCAGUAAAUCCUUACUUAACACAGGAUUGAAGCCAACCAAGAACGGAAGGCAAUUUCGUUAGAUUAAGAACCGAAUCACCAUCCAAUAUAGUAGCAUUUGAACCAGAACUCUUGUUAAAUUCUUGAAAUCUCCUGCUUUCAUCAGUCUGUAAGAGAAAUGAAGAUGAGAAUAAUAGCCAGAACCGGAUUAAAUUCAAUCUGGUCUUUUGAAGACUUCUAUAACAACUAAGAGAACCCAGUGUACCGCCUACAGAUACUGUCAGGCUUCUAUCAAAUAUCCCAAACACCAAAAACCAACCCAAUUAAGCUAACAAACCUGCAUGAAUAUCUAAAUUUCAAUGCACGUGAAACAAACUCCGUGUUCAAUCCACCAAAACUAGCAAAUUUCAAACUUUAUCACUCAUCAUUCUCUCUCUGUCAGCUGUAUGAGGCUAUGAGAUCAUGUUAUAAUGUUCAUAUUGAUGCUGAAUGUUUUGCCAGCUUGUCUGAAUUCCAUAAGAGAAUGCAAUGUGCACAUUAUUGUGCCUUGCCCACCAUUAGAUUCUAAACCACAAAAUCAUUGUGUGAAGUAGCUGACGUUUCGCACAUUCUUAUCCCUUAUCAUCAAUAUUCUUCUCCUCAAGCUUAGAUCAUGGAAAUUUGAGUGACAAACAUGAUAACAUGGUAACACCAUCUAAACUUUAGGGGCAUAAAGUAACAUAGAAGCAACAUGGGAUGUUUUAAAAUCUAUUAUAAUUUGCUUAGGCCCCUGAAUAAAAUUAAAACUUGUAAUGAAAUAAAGUAGCAAAAUAAAGAUUGGAGGUCGCAUGCUUGAUAUUUGAUGCUGUCAAAAUUAAUUUGCAGUGCUGAAAUUGCUGCUCCAAUAAAUUUUUCAAUGGGAUUUCUAUAUUUACAACAAAUUUUCAGUAUUGAAACAGGAUUAAAAUCAUAAAGUAUCUUUUAAACAGCAGAGGCAACAAGAUCCUACAGAAAAAGAAGGCAAAAAGUAGUUACAAGCUACAGAAACGCAAAUAUUCUACUGGCCAACUCCCACUAAAUUCGAAGCAAUUCUAAAAUCUCAGCUUGUACUACGACAUCAUUCCUUCUAUGUGGCCCAACUGUACUUCACCCAGAAAUCACAUUUCUUCAUCAGAGAUAAUUUUACUUCUAAUAAGAGAGAAUUUUUUAUAUGCAUGGCUUUACAGUAAUGAAUAAUUUUCCUUAAAUCUUUUCUAACAGACAAGAAAGCACAAAGCACAAAAAUUGAUAUAAACAACUUUUCUCGAAGCUUUUUCAUAAGAAAACCUGAACAUGAUUGCUUCUCUUAGAAGGCCCCCUAGCUUCCUGCAAGAACCUUGUGCCCCCAAAAAAAACAAAGGAUUAUAAUUAGGCAUAAGGCUCCCAAUGUUCUUGCAGGAAUUAUGAUGAAUAUGAGAGUUUCAAAAAAGAAAAAAAAAUAUUACGACAACCUCUAGGCGGAGGAAAUCAGUUUUCUAGGAAUUCGUUAGAUUGGUGAAGUUAUAGAACCGCAGCAAUUUGCUGUAGUUUGGAAUGUUUUUGCCUUUCAUUAUAGCAUUUGAAAAGGCUCAAGGAUAUAGAAGAACCUUGGCUACAAAUUCAGGGAAGAUUUCACUUAUAAUGAGAAAUAAUCACCAUUAUUAUAUACAAUGAGAAAACAGUUAUGGAAGAAAUAGAAAGAAUUACCCGAAACGGAGGAUUUGGAAGACAAUGAGACAAAAGUAUAAAGAAGAAGAAAUUGGAGAUAUAAUGACUGCCUAUUUCUUUGAUGAACCCAUCAAAAACGGCUUGAAAAUUAAAGAAAUUGUAAAAUGCUGUAACGGAGGAAUUGAAACUGUAAAAGAUGCAAGUUAAUUCAUGGGGCUGGCCAUCUUGAUUGAUUGAACACCUAUUAGAUUUUUAAUAUUAAAGAACUCACUUUAAUGAUGUUUAAUUGGUAGUAGCCCUUUAUAGUCUUUAAACCUUUAGCAGUGCAAAGUCACAAGCUUUGUCCAGAAUCUAAGGGCGUAAGUUAUAGGCGAUGGGUGCCAUCACCUGGGCAACGACGUACAUCGCUUGGGCGACAAGCCAAUUUACUAGGCUCAUCGCAAACAGCCUUCGUCGCCUGGGCGAUGGCCAAAUCCAUCCAAUAAACUUUCAGCUCAUGUUUGAUAGUCUAAAAAAAGUAGUUAUGGUGGCCAUCACACAUCACAUUUUACUGACAAGCUGUCUUAAUUUUCAUAGAAAAUUGUUCCUACUGAUUUUCCAAUACUGGCCUAAUACUUGCAGAUUAUUAAACGAUUAUGGAAUGGCGGCGAUUUUAGACCAGUAAUUUUGUCAAUAAUUGCUAAUUCGCAAUCCCUUUACAAAUCUAAUAAUCUACUGCAUACACGCUCUUGAUGACUUGGAUUCUCAAAAAAUAACCAUUUUACGCCGCUGAAGCGCAGAAAAAUCAAUUGUUUUAUCCACUUCCAAAUAAAACUUAUUCUAGUAAAUGCGAUAAAGAAAUGUUUAUUUCAAUUUCCAACCCAGAUCUCAUAAAGAAUUUCUCACUCAAAUAAACAAAUAAAUAUCAUCUGGUAAUGGUAUGACAUUUAUUUUGAAGUAAACACUGGCCCACUAUUUUCUCAAUUUUCCAUUGUUUGAGGACACCAUUUUCUCAAUUGAAGAACAUGUUCUGGCCAAAAUUCACAAUUUUCUCCACGUGAUUUAAAGCACACAGGAUUCACACUUUUCUCCACGUGAUUUAAAAGCACACAGAAUUCUCCUGACCUUAAUUACGGAUCUUAUUAUGUUUAUUGAAAUCCAAUAUUGUAGACUCAUUGUUGUAGCUAGAAAAUCAUAUUAAUAGAGUAAAAUUUAUAAAUAAUCAAAGAAAAGAGUUCACGCUCUUACUUCAUUACUUUUAUAAUCUUAUUAGUAUAUCUACUUACAUGUCUUCAGAAAAUACAGUUUUAAGAGGAUAUUUUUAUUUUUCUUCGUAAUAAUAGAUUUAAUUUUCAUCUUUCUAAUGUUAAGUUGCAUAUUUGGAGUAAAUAAUAUUAAAUUUCAAAUUAGAUCACAGACCCCAUUUUAAUAGAUUCAAUUGGAUUUUGGACAUCUAAUUAAACAACUGGACUAAUAAAUUGCAAAUGAAUGAGAUUUAUAUGUGAUUUUAAAAUAAAAUUUGAACUCAAAUCUAUGUAUUUAAUUAAUCCAACAGGACAAAUUUAUAAUUUUCACCAACUAAAUAAAAUAUGUUAUCAGAAACUUUUGGACCAAGUCGCGCACUUCGUGGGUCUGCUACUACUUAUAGUCCAUUCUCAUUCAACUUUCACAUCUUUUAUAUUAUGUACAAAUUGGAUUAUAUUCUAAAACAGUGUUUCUAAUUGUUUAACGUUUUAUUUCUGGGUAUAUUUAGAGAUUAAAAAAUAUGGGAAACAUAAUUAAUUUUAUCAAAUAAAAAGGAGUAUUGUUCAUUUUUUCAUAAACAAUGUGUUAAAAUACUUUUGGUAUUUAAGAAGUAAAAAUUUUUAUUUUUGUUUCAUAAAAAAGCAUUCAAAAUUAUAUUAAAUAAAAUUAAAGAUUAACAAAACUGACAUCUGAAUUUCGUGCAAAUUAUAAUAAGUUUAUCUCCAGCGUGAGUAACAUUAAAGCUUGGCUAGCAUCAUCAUAUUUUAUCUCCAGCAUCAAAAUUCUGAUAACAUCAACAUCAUAAUUCCAAGGUUGUCAAAACUAAUUAUCAAAUUAAAAUCCUUUGUGAUUUAAGCUCUCUUGGACUUUUAAAAAUGUUAUGCCACCCCUUCUUUAAUAAUAGUAGUAUAUGAUUAUGAUUUAAUUAUUUUAUUUUUUUAAUUUAUCAAACACCAAUCACUUAAAUUAAACUCAAGAAAAAAAUUAGAACAUCAAAGAAUUUUAAUUGCUUCUUAUUAAGUACUAGAAUUAACUUCUCCCAAUGAUAAUUUAUUAAGCAAACCAUAAUGAUCAUCUUACACUAAAGAACCAACCCAUCUUCAAAACACAAGAAUUUAGUACAAAUAAUUAUCCCAAUAAAGUUUAACGAAAAAGAAAAGAGAUAUUUUUAUUAUUUCUUUUACUUUCUUAGUGGCUCUGCUACUACCUAUAGUCCAUUCUUAUUCAACAUACAGAUCUUUUAUAUUAUAUGCAAAUUAAAAUAUAUUCUAAAAAGUGUAUCCAACUGGUUAACAUAUUAUUUCUAUAUAAUAAUCAAUUUUAUCAAAUAAAAAGGAGUUUUGGUCAUUCAUUUGGCUCCGUUGCCACUGUUGUACGCUACAAAAGCUUUUGUCUUUGCUGACUCAGUUACUGUAAAAUGUCGUUCAGCCCCUUAUACUCUAUUUUAUUUAUAAGAAUUAUAAAAAUUUCUAAUUACCUACACUUUCAAAAUUCAAUUUAUCUCCUUACAAUCUUUUUCAUUUACUUUUUUUUGUAAGUAUUAAAAAGUUUCUAUUUACAACCACGACAUAGUAAUCAUCAUAACACACGAAUAUUUAUAAAAAUAUAAAAAUAUCACUAAAUUAAUACUAAAAAAUGUUUUCCUCUCUUGAGGAAUUAUGGUAUCUCAUUUUCGAUCACUCAUUAUCAACAAAAUUUUCAAAGAUAUGAUCAUUCAUCUUCUUUAUAAUAUCAUCUUAUAAUAAUUAAUACUUUCAUGAUUAAAAAAAUUAACAAAAUAAAGAUAAAUUCCCUUUGAAUCCAUCCCUCUCUACUAUCAUUUUCUCUUCAUUAGCAACAUUUAUCAAUAAUUGAAGCCACCAUCAGACUCAUCACACAGAGAGAGUGAGAGAGGGGAAGAAGAAACGGGAAAAAAAAAUAUAUGAGACAUUUACAAUUUUAUAGUGUGUUUAUUCAACGAGAUUCAUAUAUAGUUGCUAAGGGGUUUCAUUAGACACAGAGAGUUUAUUACACUGAAACUUUUAAUCCAGUAGUUAAGGCCUCAACAAUCAGAGUUAUUCUUAGCCUAGCAGUACUUAACAAGUGGAUAAUCAGACAAGUGGAUAUUAAUAAUGCCUUAAUGGCAUUUCAGUUGAAGAAGUUUACAUGGCACAACCUGAGGGAUUUGUGGAUCCUACUAAACCCCAACACAUCUGCAAAUUAAAAAGGACUAUAUAUGGCUUGAAGCAAGCUCUCAGGGCUUGGUUUGAUAGAUUCAAAGCUGCAAUGAUUACUCAAUGACAUUUUCAACACUCAAAAUCAGAUAAAAAAUAUCAAAAUAUUUAUAUCAUUAAACUUUUAGGCCUAAUUAACUAAUUAAAGUUCUAAAUUUUUAUUUAGGACAUUAAAAAGACCGGAUAGAUUCUAUUAGCCCAAAAAUUUUAUUUUAAUUUUAAUAUUCAUUAAAUAUUUUAAACUUAAAUCUAUUUUUUAUUUAUUUUUAGAUGUUAGAAUUGCCCACAGCGAAUCACAAUUUUAAUAUCUAAUCUAAUUUAAUCUAAUAUUUGCUCUUGAUUUGCUCUUACUUAACUAUUGUGUUGUAAAGGGAAUAGUCCACAUUUAUAAAGUGCCCACGCCACCCUUGAAAAAGUUAAUUUUGAAUCUAAAUUUGAUUUUAUUUGUAACAAUUUUGUAUUAGACUAUUAAUUUAUUUAUGAUAGUUUGUAAAAGAAGUUUGUAUCCCUUGCAUGCUGCGUUACUUACUAAUUUAAUGUAUGUGACUUUUGUAAUGGAUAUUAAUGCAAGAUAUUUUUCGAACUUUACUUUUAUUUAAAUUUUAUUUUAAUAUGAUUAACUCAAAUCGAAAAUAAAAAAAUGUAUUAAUUAUUCGGGGAUCGGGGACCCUCGGGGAUCCCCUAUUAUUAUUCGGGGAGGAGAUAGAGAUUCUCUUAAGUAAUUCUGACAGGGACGGGAAGGGGAUGAGGACAUACACAAAAUAUUGGGAAUGGUUACGGGGAGAUUGGUCCCCUCCCCUCCCCUCCCCAUUGCCAUCCCUAACUCCCUGACUAAAUAAUUUGGGAAUAUAAGGAUGCAAUAAGAGUUGAGUGGUCUUUAUUCCCAUAGCAUUAUUUUUUUCUCGCUUCAUCCGUGCUCUAUUCAAUCUUUAUGUGCCGCUUGUGUUAUGUUCCUGCAUAUCUAAUUACCUUUAGCUGCUUGUGUUAUGUUUACUUGUUUUGAUCUUAAUCUUUAAUCACUUAGCCUGAAUAAGAAAUAAUUUUUUAUAUUUGCUCUGCAAUGAUGUUAUUCGGUGUUAAUAGCUUCGUUUUGUUACUCUUUUCCGCACAGAUUCUUGAUCUCAACAGAACUUUUAUUUUGAAUAUUCUGCAUAAGGACAAUCUCAUUUAAUACCAUCAGUGAUUUUUCAUUUUUUUUCUCUUUAGUUUUAAUAUGUUUGAUAACUGUAUGGCUAAGCAAUCUAUGCAAUUUUAUCUUGUCGUAUGUUUGAGCUCAUUUUUUGUUGCAAUUCUGAAUAUUUGGUAUGAAUUAUGUGAUACCGGACAAUACUGUUAACUUGUUCAUUUCUUAAUUUUAAUAUCUUGUCAAAGUCACUAAUAGCAUUUCAUCAUGCUAUGAGUUAAACAUGGAACAAAUGACGACAUGCAGUUGUGGAAUGUGGUAGAUCUCUGGAAUUCUAUGUCCUUAUGCUUGUAGGGCAACACAAUACAUUAGUUAAAACAUUAAAGACUAUGAUGUCCGCAGAAAAUUAUAUGUCAACAUAUGCACCAGGCAUGAUGAAAUUAGCCAAAGACAGUGCUUGGAAACAAUUAACUAACUUUUGGCAUUAGGCGUAUCAAGUUCAAUUCGGUAUUUCACAAAACUUAAACUAACUUAUUCCUAAUUAUAGUGGACACAAUUAACUAACUUUGGCAACUGUUCUGAAGAGGAUGACUUCUUCAGGAUGACAUCAACUACCAGCGAUGAUACUAUCAGUAAGCUGCUUCUGCUAUCUAUUAAAUAUUACUGCUAAACGUAAUAUUGACAAUUUGUCUGUGUGCAGGCCUGUGAUAACCACUUGGAUCGGAUAAAGGACUGGGACAUCAACAAUUUGCCCAGAAACCAAUAAGAUAUCAUUGUAAUGUUUAAUUAUACAUGUAUUAGUUUCUCUUUGGAUGGUGCUCUUUGUUAUGCAAAAGUAUGGCGACUAUGUUUCAACCAGUGUAUCUAUUAUAUACACUAACUAUGAAUUACUAGAAAUUUUAUUACAUUAAUCAUUUUUAGAUAGCCACUCAUCUCAAACGAAACAAACUGGUCAGAGACACUUGACCCAACAUGCUUGUGAUCGACCUUAGAAUAAAUUUUUCUCACUCAAUAUAGACAACUUCUGUGAGGUUAAUAUUUCUUCAAAUGUCAAGAAAAGCAUUGGCCACAUAAAUGCAUACACAUGUUUUUGUUGGGAAGUUAAGCAGACGGGAACAACAUUGGACUAUAUACUCAUACACCAAACUUUAAUAAACUAAUAAAUAUAAUUUAAUAAUAAUUUAUUUCUCCUCGCUUAUGUGAGAAAAAGUCAAACCACAUAACGUAUUUAUAUUUUGUUAAGAAAUUUUACUGAUUGAACUAAUUAACACUAAUUUCUUAUCUCUCUUAACCAACGGAUAUUUUGAAGAUAGUUUUUUAUUUUCUAUAUUUUAUGUACUAAAUGAUUUUAAACCUCUAUCACGUCAUGAAUAAAUUGGAGUUUAGGUUGCUUAAAAUAAUAAUAAUAAUAAUAAUAAUAAUAAUAAUAAUAAUAAUUAAUAAAUGUAUUGAUGGAUUUCAUAAUCAUCCCACUUAGGGGUGGGCACGGUUCGGUUCGGUUCGAAAUUAAGUAGAACCGAUUUAAAUCGGUUAUUUUAUAAAAAGAACCGAAUAAGAACCAAACUCAAUAAGAACCAAACUCAAUAAGAACCGAACUCAAACGGUUCUUUUCGGAUCGGUUCGGUUCGGUUCGGUUUUUUCGGUUCUGGGUCUAUUGGGCCUAUUUUGAAUUUUUAAAUUUUUAGCCCAUUGGGCCUCAUAAAUGUAAUAAUUUUUUUCAACAAUUAAUUUAUCCUAAUUUUAUUACAAAUAUUAACAAUAAAUACAAAGUAUUCAAAACACAUUUUAUCACUAAUAUCUUACUAAUUAUUAAUAAGAUACUCCCAAAAUAUGAAAUAUUAAAAUUUCAAAAUACAUAACCAAACUCCAAUACUCCAUCUAUAUAAACAUAAUCAUAAUGUUAUAAAGAGAAAUAACACAUGUUUGAUUUGAAUAAAAUCAUGUUUGAUUUGAAUAAAAUUAUUAACACAUGUUUGAUUUGAAUAAAAUAAAAAAAUAAUUCGGUUCUUCGGUUCGGUUUUUUGGUUCAGCUAAGUGAACCGAAUACCGAACCGACAUUUCAGUUUUUUUUACAAACGGUAUAUUCGGUUUUUUUAAAAAAUAAAAACCGAACCGAAUUAAAAAAAACCGUCGGUUCGGUUUUUUUUAACAUUACGGUUUUUUUGCCCACCCCUAAUCUCACUCCUACGCCUCAAGACAAACAAGCUCACACUUCACGGAUCAGUCAAAGGAUCGGCUUUCAAGUCGUUGAAUUCACGGUGGUCAAACUAACGGAAAAACUAACGUGACGUCAAUCAGAUACGGUUUAUAAUAUAUGUAUCCUCAAUCAACGCAAAAAGUUUGAUCUGAAAAACCCUCUGCCUAAAACGCGUUUUCAGAAACGCGGUUUUGUUUUUCAAGUGGUUCCCAGAGCAUCCAUGCCAUGCUCUGUAUCAAUCAUUUCGUGCAUGUUUGGAGUUUGGCACGGCCAUUUUUACUGACUUUGUUAAGAAGUACUUAGAAGCUCAUUAGGAAAUGAUAACAAACGAAGCCUUGCGCUUUUACAUGUUACAUGCAUUAUUGGUAAGACGGUUGAUGAGUUACGUUAUAUGAACCCACAAUUAGUCGCCCAAUAGCCACCAUAUAUUAAAUAAUCAGUCAAAUUUUGAAUUGGGUAGUUAACUAAUUUCGAAUUACCGUAAGUCAUAAAUAAUGCAGGUUAGUAAGACCCGAGCCUAGGCAAAUUAAGGUCGUUAUCGCCUCUAAAUCAAGGCUGCAUAACCCAAAGUUAAGGGCACAUGUUCGAGUCCCAACUCCACAGUGUUGGAACUCUAUUAUAGUAUUAUUCCCUUUCACAUUAAAAGGAUAGGAUGGUUAUUUCUCUUACAUAUGUAGAUAGAUCAAAUAUAUCUUCUAAAUAAUAAUAGAUUUAUCAUUUUAAAGAGUUGUUUUAGAUAUGUGGAUAGAUCAAAUAAUAGACACCCUUUCCAUGAAAGGAGACUCAUUGAUUAUUGUUAAAAAAAAAAUUCGUUGAUGUUAUUAGAGAACUUGCAAUUUUUUUAUAACACUAAAUUUUUUAAUUUUUUAAGAUUUUUCUAUGAAUAGCAUGAAUUUUUUAUAGCAUUGGUAAUGAGGAUAUUAUGGACCUUUAGAUUUAAAUAUUUUAAUCUUCGCCAUUCAUUCAAUUUAGUGGAUAAAUAACUAAUUACUUAAUUUUUCAAGUUGCAUGUAGUAUAUAAGUUUAUGUAUGUAAUUCUAUUUUUAAUAAAUAAAUAAAUAAAUUUUAAAUCACUAACAAAAAAAAAUGCAAAUAUGUAUGUUAGUUUAGACGUGUACAUAAUAGAUAUGAAUUGAUAUUAUUUAAUUAUUGCACAAGACAUGCUAAUAAUGAUCUCUUUUGUCAAUAAUAAUCAGGAGAAUAAAAUGUUAAUUUCUUGAUUUUACUGGAUGGCUAAGAUCGAGUUAAGUCAAUUUUCGUUAUAUUUGUUAAUCUAAUAAUAUGUUGGCGAAAAAGAGGGAAUAUGAUUACAAACUAAGAUUGAGUUAAUUUUUUUAAUUCAGUCUUUAAAAAAUUGUACAACUGGUUUGAUAAUUGGUUAAUGAAAUUUUAAAUAACUAAAAUCAAGAUAUUAUUUUAACUAUAACUUCUAAUUUUGUACCAAACGUUGAUGAUCUUGAUGGGCGCAGAGGAUAGUUGGGUACGGUGCUGUAGUGGGCAACUAUGAGGAUAAAGUGAUGGUGACUGGAAUUGACAUAGGGGUAUACUUGGAUGAUGUUGAUUAUAGUGCGGCUGAGGCUUUAUGCUUUAGCUUAGAGUUGCUUAUCAAGAAUCUAUUAAUAACACAUUAUACUCAUACACCAAAGUUUAAUCUGAAUGAAUCAAGUAAUUCUAUGUUAAUAAAAGUUUUUAGACUUACGAUGAGGGUCUAGUUUAUAUAAAUGCAAAUAACACUGAAAUCUAAUAAUCCUUUACAAAUAAAUAUGAUUUAUUCAAUUAUCGCAAACAAUUGUUUUAUCAGAGUUAAUUACAUUAUUGCUAAACUUGUAUAAGCUUUCCUGUUUCAAGCAUAUCUACUUAAUUACAUUAUUCAUCGACAAUGUUACUUUGCUAGUAGAAGUUUUAUGUUUUCAUACCUUAAUCACUAUUUAACGCUUCGUUUUCCAAUAGUUCUAAUUCUUCAAAUUUUGGUUUUAUUCUUCCAUAAUUAUAAAUUGAUACUGAUUCGCACGACUCAAAUUAAAGUGGUUAAUUACUCUAAAAGUAUAAAUUUGGCAGUCAAUAAUUACUUAAAAAUAAUUGCAAAAAAAUUAAUAAGGAAUAGUAUAAAUUUAAAAACCGCUAAAGUUACGAGAUCCAUGCUUGAUAUUUAAAUCAUGGUCAUAAUACUCUUUCUCUCUCUCUCUCUCUCUCACACACACACACACAUAUAUAUAUAACCACUUUCAAUAUUAUGUUACUUAGUUCUUAAUUAACCGCUCUAUAAAUAAAUAUGAGAAUUAAGUACAUAUUAUGCUACAACCUUAUUGGAGUGUUCCCACUACCAUAUUAGUAGUCAACAUUAGGUCUAAACACCCACAUAAUAUUUUUGGUGAACUUGCAACCACAACCUUUAAAUUAGGGGUGGGCACGGUUCGGUUCGGUUCGAAAUUAAGUAGAACCGAUUUAAAUCGGUUAUUUUAUAAAAAGAACCGAAUAAGAACCAAACUCAAUAAGAACCGAACUCAAACGGUUCUUUUCGGAUCGGUUCGGUUCGGUUCGGUUUUUUCGGUUCUGGGUCUAUUGGGCCUAUUUUGAAUUUUUAAAUUUUUAGCCCAUUGGGCCUCAUAAAUGUAAUAAUUUUUUUCAACAAUUAAUUUAUCCUAAUUUUAUUACAAAUAUUAACAAUAAAUACAAAGUAUUCAAAACACAUUUUAUCACUAAUAUCUUACUAAUUAUUAAUAAGAUACUCCCAAAAUAUGAAAUAUUAAAAUUUCAAAAUACAUAACCAAACUCCAAUACUCCAUCUAUAUAAACAUAAUCAUAAUGUUAUAAAGAGAAAUAACACAUGUUUGAUUUGAAUAAAAUCAUGUUUGAUUUGAAUAAAAUUAUUAACACAUGUUUGAUUUGAAUAAAAUAAAAAAAUAAUUCGGUUCUUCGGUUCGGUUUUUUGGUUCAGCUAAGUGAACCGAAUACCGAACCGACAUUUCAGUUUUUUUUACAAACGGUAUAUUCGGUUUUUUUAAAAAAUAAAAACCGAACCGAAUUAAAAAAAACCGUCGGUUCGGUUUUUUUAACAUUACGGUUUUUUUGCCCACCCCUAAUCUCACUCCUACGCCUCAAGACAAACAAGCUCACACUUCACGGAUCAGUCAAAGGAUCGGCUUUCAAGUCGUUGAAUUCACGGUGGUCAAACUAACGGAAAAACUAACGUGACGUCAAUCAGAUACGGUUUAUAAUAUAUGUAUCCUCAAUCAACGCAAAAAGUUUGAUCUGAAAAACCCUCUGCCUAAAACGCGUUUUCAGAAACGCGGUUUUGUUUUUCAAGUGGUUCCCAGAGCAUCCAUGCCAUGCUCUGUAUCAAUCAUUUCGUGCAUGUUUGGAGUUUGGCACGGCCAUUUUUACUGACUUUGUUAAGAAGUACUUAGAAGCUCAUUAGGAAAUGAUAACAAACGAAGCCUUGCGCUUUUACAUGUUACAUGCAUUAUUGGUAAGACGGUUGAUGAGUUACGUUAUAUGAACCCACAAUUAGUCGCCCAAUAGCCACCAUAUAUUAAAUAAUCAGUCAAAUUUUGAAUUGGGUAGUUAACUAAUUUCGAAUUACCGUAAGUCAUAAAUAAUGCAGGUUAGUAAGACCCGAGCCUAGGCAAAUUAAGGUCGUUAUCGCCUCUAAAUCAAGGCUGCAUAACCCAAAGUUAAGGGCACAUGUUCGAGUCCCAACUCCACAGUGUUGGAACUCUAUUAUAGUAUUAUUCCCUUUCACAUUAAAAGGAUAGGAUGGUUAUUUCUCUUACAUAUGUAGAUAGAUCAAAUAUAUCUUCUAAAUAAUAAUAGAUUUAUCAUUUUAAAGAGUUGUUUUAGAUAUGUGGAUAGAUCAAAUAAUAGACACCCUUUCCAUGAAAGGAGACUCAUUGAUUAUUGUUAAAAAAAAAAUUCGUUGAUGUUAUUAGAGAACUUGCAAUUUUUUUAUAACACUAAAUUUUUUAAUUUUUUAAGAUUUUUCUAUGAAUAGCAUGAAUUUUUUAUAGCAUUGGUAAUGAGGAUAUUAUGGACCUUUAGAUUUAAAUAUUUUAAUCUUCGCCAUUCAUUCAAUUUAGUGGAUAAAUAACUAAUUACUUAAUUUUUCAAGUUGCAUGUAGUAUAUAAGUUUAUGUAUGUAAUUCUAUUUUUAAUAAUGACAAUUGAUUGUGUUAGCAUUUUGGUCAAAAAGGUGGACCCCCCCAAAAACAAACAAAAAAAAUUUAUGAUAAUAAUUAACAUUGAUAAAUAAAAAUAUUAAUAAUGGGUGUGUUAGCAUUUUGGUCCAAAGCCGAUUUGGCCUUGACAUUAAUUGGAAUUUUGGAUCUAUAAUAUGAUUUUCACCGAAAAGAUAAUUUUGCCGCUAAUUAUUUGGGUAGUCAGAUAAUAAUAACAAAAAAAUGUUAUCUCGAUCUCACCUAUAACUUGAGGAGAUAAUAAUGAUAGUCUUUCAUAAUACUCUACUGUUUAGUUUCUCUUCUUCAUUUUUUUCCCCUUUGAAGUCUUUCAACAAAAAUGGGUGGCAUCAUCUCAACCUUCUUCUCAGCGGACACAAUUCGUCCAAUUUUAUUUUACGUCGGUGGACGAGCAAAGUAUAUAUGGGGUCUUAAAGGUAAUCUCGAUGACUUGCAAACUGAAACGGAGAACUUGAUUGCGAAAAAACUAGAUCUACUGAAUAAGGUUAGGCUUGCCGAACAACAACAGCCUCGUGCCCAACGGACGAGCACGGUGAAACUCUGGUUCGAAAGGGUGGAUCGAAGUGUAACUCUUGUUGAGGGGCUGCAACAAGAAAGAGAUCAAGAGAUUGACAGAUUGUGUCUUGGAGGCUUCUGUUCCAAGGACUUGAUUUCAAGCUACGACUUCGGCAAAAAGGUGGAGAAGUUGAAGGAAGAAGUAAUCAAAUUGAGGGAAAAAGGAGAAGCAAUGAAAGAAGUUUAUGAGGGGUUACCAGAAGGUGCAGCGGUUGCAAUAGCUGUUGACCGAACAAUUGUUGGUCAAGAAUCAAUACUUGACCAAGUUUGGAGAUGCAUCACUGAUCAAAAAAAGAAUAAUGGAAUUAUUGGCUUAUAUGGUAUGGGGGGCAUCGGCAAAACUACUCUGUUAAAACAAGUCAAUAACAAAUUCUGCAGUGAGGAGCAUGAUUUUGAUGUCGUUAUCUGGUCGGUUGUAUCUAGAGAGCCAAACUUGAAGCAGAUUCAAGAGGAUAUUGGGAAAAGGAUAGGCUUCUCAACAGAUUCAUGGCAGAGAAAAAGGUUUGAAGAAAGGGCUUCAGACAUCACCAACACUUUAAAGCAUAAGAAGUUUGUAUUGUUAUUGGAUGAUAUAUGGGAGUCCGAAAUUGAUUUAACCAAAUUGGGCGUCCCUCUUCAGACACUAGAUUCUGGGUCCAGAAUAGUCUUCACAACUCGUUUUGAGGGUACUUGUGGUAAAAUGGGAGCCCAUAAGAAUCGGUACAAAGUGUUUUGUUUGGGAGAUGACGAUGCCUGGAAAUUAUUUGAGGGGGUGGUCGGGAGAUACGUUCUUAACAAGCAUCCCGACAUUCCGAAGUUAGCCGAGGAUGUGGCACGUCAGUGUCAUGGUUUGCCGCUAGCACUCAAAACAGUAGGUAAUGCCAUGGCGAGCAAAGUGUACCCUGAAGAAUGGAAAGAAGCAAUUGAGAUCCUAAGCGCAUCAGCUUCUAAAUUCGAAGAUAUGGAGAAAAAGGUGCUUUCGAGCUUAAAGUUCAGCUAUGAUAGUUUGCCGAAAGAUGAACUUCGAUCUUGUCUCCUGUACUGUUGCUUAUUUCCCGAAGACUCUGAAAUUCUAAAAACCGAGUUGAUAGAGUAUUGGAAAAGUGAAGGAUUUGUGCAUUCUAGCAGCGGGUGGGGGGUUCUUGGUGCUCUCGUUCGUGCAUGCUUAUUGGAGGAAGCAGGUGAUCGUGUAAAAAUGCACGAUAUGAUCCGUGACAUGGCAUUAUGGAUAGCAAAUGAAGUAGAGGAGGAGGAGGAGAACUUUUUGGUUCGUGCAGGAGUUGGAUUAACUGACGCCCCAAAGAUUGAAGAAUGGGAAGGGGUCAAAAGGAUAUCCUUGAUGCAGAACAAAAUUCAAAGUCUACCACAAAUUCCCUCUUGUCCGCGUCUGCAAACAUUGCUUCUGGCGAGUAAUCGUAUUAAGGAGAUCACUGAGAGUUUCUUUCAAUCUUUGCCUUCACUUAGAGUUUUGAGUCUAAGAAGAAAUCGUUCCCUGACUGAACUUCCUGUGGGGAUUUCAAGUCUGGUUUCAUUACACCAUCUUGAUAUGUCUUCUACUAAAGUACGUGGAUUGCCGCAAGAGCUCAAGGCAUUGGUGAAUCUGAGAUAUUUGAACUUGGAGUAUACACGUGGAAUGUCUAGAAUUCCACAGCAAUUAAUAUCAAGCUUUUCAAAGUUACAGGUACUCAGGAUGCUGCGUUGCGGUCGACGUUACCAGCCAAUAGUGGAAGAAGGCAACGUUCUAUCUGCUGAUGCUGAAUCAUUGAUGAAGGAAAUCCACUGUUUGGAACAAUUAAAUCUCAUCACCUUGUCCUUACAUGGUUCGCGUGGUGUUGAAAACUUUCUGAAAUUCCCAAAGCUGCAGAAUAUCACUCAAGCUCUGUCCAUCGAAGACUGCAACAGUCUACCGCUCAAUUUGUUACAUCUAGCAAACAUGGAGCAUCUUGAGGAGUUAUAUAUCGAGGAUAGUAAUUUGGAAGACUGGAAUGUCGACUGCGCGGGAGAGGUACAAAAAAUGCGUAAACUUCACUCGGUUCUCAUACGGAAUUGCUCAAAUGUGAAGGACUUGACGUGGCUUGUUUUUGUUCCAAAUCUCAAGUGGCUGCGAAUAGUUGGUUGUGAUGACAUGGAAGAAAUAAUCAGUGUUGAAAAAUUUGAAAAAUUGAGUGAAGUUUCAGAGAUGAUGGGAGAGCUUAACUUGUUCUCAGAACUCGAACUUCUGGUAAUAAGAAAUGCAAGUAAUUUGGAGCGCAUCUACCGCGAUCCCUUGCCCUUUCCACAGCUGAACCGAAUUAGCAUAUUGAAAUGCCCAAAGUUGAAGAAGCUCCCACUCAAUUCCAGCAGCGCAAAGGGACGUAAAAUUGCCCUUGCGGGACAGAAAGAAUGGUGGGAAGAGCUACAAUGGGAGGAUCAAGCCACUCAAAAUGCUUUCUCUCCCUGUUUCCGACCUAUUGAAGAAUAAAGUGCGAUAAGGCACAAAAGUGUGAAUAAAAUUUCUGCGCGUGCUUAAUGAUUAUCUUGUCUAUCUAUUUCAUUUAAUUUAAAAGUUUUCUACGGAGUUGCAUGUGUGUCACUUGUCAUUCUUCUGUACUGCUGUUUCCUAUUUCCAGUUAAUAAAAUUUUUUUGUUCUUAGAGUUAGAAAUGCUUUACUUGUAAGGGAGAUUCACAAUUUUCCCAUAUUAUGAUUAAUAUAUUCUUUUUACUUUCCUACUAUUUUGCAUAAUUUUUUAAUAUUAUUUUUAUUUCUAAAUAUAUUUUUAUUCAUAUUUAUUAUAAAUUAAAUAAAUGUAUGAAUAGAAAUAAAAAUAAAAAUAAAAAUUAAGUAUUAAAACAAGAAAUAUAUAUUAUGAUUUGAAUAAAAAAUAAAUAUUUUUUUGUACUUAGAAUGCCAUUUGUCGUGAGCACCUGAAUCCCCAAAGGACUCCCAGCUUCAAGUGGCUUUGACUUAGCUUGCUUUAGCUCCAUUGCACAUACUCACUCACAUGGAGGAAAUGAACAGAACAAGAAACCUCAUCAUGCCGAAUAUGAUAGAUAUGACAAGGCAUUACAUUGUAGGAAGCUCCCGAUUUCUCUAAAAAACUCUGCAGGUUCUCCGCAAUCAAGGCGUGCUCCAUCUUUAACAGAUCACUUCUACCAUUAAGAGAAGGAAGAGAGUUCCUCUCGUGUGACAGUAAAUCCUUACUUAACACAGGAUUGGAGCCAACCAAGAAGGGAAGGCAAUUUCGUUAGAUUAAGAAUCGAAUCACCAUCCAAUAUAGUAGCAUUUGAACCAGAACUCUUGUUAAAUUCUUGAAAUCUCCUGCUUUCAUCAGUCUGUAAGAGAAAUGAAGAUGAGAAUAAUAGCCAGAACCGGAUUAAAUUCAAUCUGGUCUUUUGAAGACUUCUAUAACAACUAAGAGAACCCAGUGUACCGCCUACAGAUACUGUCAGGCUUCUAUCAAAUAUCCCAAACACCAAAAACCAACCAAAUUAAGCUAACAAACCUGCAUGAAUAUCUAAAUUUCAAUGCAUAUGAAACAAACUCCAUGUUCAAUCCACCAAAACUAGCAAAUUUCAAACUUUAUCACUCAUCAUUCUCUCUCUGUCAGCUGUACGAGGCUAUGAGAUCAUGUUAUAAUGUUCAUAUUGAUGCUGAAUGUUUUGCCAGCUUGUCUGAAUUCCAUAAGAGAAUGCAAUGUGCACAUUAUUGUGCCUUGCCCACCAGUAGAUUCUAAACCACAAAAUCAUUCUGUGAAGUAGCUGACGUUUCGCACAUUCUUAUCCCUUACCAUCAAUAUUCUUCUCCUCAAGCUUAGAUCAUGGAAAUUUGAGUGAUAACACGAUCUAAACUUUAGGGGCAUAAAGUAACAUAGAAGCAACAUGGGAUGUUUUAAAAUCUAUUAUAAUUUGCUUAGGCCCCUGAAUAAAAUUAAAACUUGAAAUGAAAUAAAGUAGCAAAAUAAAGAUUGGAGGUCGCAUGCUUGAUAUUUGAUGCUGUCAAAAUUAAUUUGCAGUGCUGAAAUUGCUGCUCCAAUAAAUUUUUCAAUGGGAUUUCCAUAUUUACAACAAAUUUUCAGUAUUGAAACAGGAUUAAAAUCAUAAAGUGUCUUUUAAACAGCAGAGGCAACAAGAUCCUACAGAAAAAGAAGGCAAAAAGUAGUUACAAGCUACAGAAACGCAAAUAUUCUACUGGCCAACUCCCACUAAAUUCGAAGCGAUUCUAAAAUCUCAGCUUGUACUACUACAUCAUUCCUUCUAUGUAGCCCAACUGUACUUCACCCAGAAAUCACAUUUCUUCAUCAGAGAUAAUUUUACAUCAUUCCUUAUCAUUAGGCAUAAGGCUCCCAAUGUUCUUGGAGGAAUUAUGAUGAAUAUGAGGGUUUCAAAAAAGAAAAAAAAAUAUUAUGACAACCUCUAGGCGGAGGAAAUCAGUUUUCUAGGAAUUCGUUAGAUUGGUGAAGUUAUAGAACCUUAGCAAUUUGCUGUAGUUUGGAAUGUUUUUGCCUUUCAUUAUAGCAUUUGCAAAGGCUCAAGGAUAUAGAAGAACCUUGGCUACAAAUUCAGGGAAGAUUUCACUUAUAAUGAGAAAUAAUCACCAUUAUUCUAUACAAUGAGAAAACAGUUAUGGAAGAAAUAGAAAGAAUUACCCGAAACGAAGGAUUUGGAAGACAAUGAGACAAAAGUAUAAAGAAGAAGAAAUUGGAGAUAUAAUGGCUGCCAAUUUCUUUGAUGAACCCAUCAAAAACGGCUUGAAAAUUAAAGAAAUUGUCAAAUGCUGUAACGGAGGAAUUGAAACUGUAAAAGAUGCAAGUUAAUUCAUGGGGCUGGCCAUCUUGAUUGAUUGAACACCUACACGUGACAAGUGUGCGAUAAUCGUUAUAUCUUCAAUUUUAGGCAGUUUUUCAUUUCUUUUAUUUUAAUAGUAAAAAAAUACGCCAUUUUAGAUACAAAUGCCCCUGACUAGCCCUUUUGUAAGUUACAUUGUUUGGUGCGAUAGUCCCGCACGUGCUUGACAUUUGCCGAAUAUCUUAUGCGCAUUUUUUUUCCCCUCUAACUCAUUGUGUAUGCUCAUCUUUAUGUGCGUUAUUACCUAAACUUAUAUACCAAUCAAAAUAAAUCAUAAAGUAUCAAACGCUUUUAAAUGAUUUUUAAUAUUAAAGAACUCACUUUAAUGAUGUUUAAUUGGUAGUAGCCCUUUAUAGUCUUUAAACCUUUAGCAGUGCAAAGUCACAAGCUUUGUCCAGAAUCUAAUGGCGUAGAUUAUAGGCGAUGGGUGCCAUCACCUGGGCAACGACGUACAUCGCUUGGGCGACAAGCCAAUUUACUAGGCUCAUCGCAAACAGCCUUCGUCGCCUGGGCGAUGGCCAAAUCCAUCCAAUAAACUUUCAGCUCAUGUUUGAUAGCCUAAAAAAAGUAGUUAUGGUGACCAUCACACAUCACAUUUUACUGACAAGGUGUCUUAAUUUUCAUAGAAAAUUGUUCCUACUGAUUUUCCAAUCCUGGCCUAAUACUUGCAGAUUAUUAAACGAUUAUGGAAUGGCAGCAAACCGGCGCCGCGGAGGGGGGCCGGCCCGGGGUUGUUGUGCUGAUUUGGGAGGGGUAAUAAACCCUCUGAGGCAAUUUAGCAAACAUAUUAUGUGCCAUGAUUUUAGACCAGUAAUUUUGUCAAUAAUAGCUAAUUCGCAAUCCCAUUACAAAUCUAAUAAUCUAUUGCAUACACGCUCUUGAUGACUUGGAUUCUCAAAAAAUAAUCAUUUUACGCCGCUGAGGCGCAGAAAAAUCAAUUGUGUUGUCCCUUUAUACUUUUUCAUUUGUUUUGCCCACGUCCAAAUAAAACAGAUUCUGGUAAAUGUGAUAAGGAAAUGUUUGUUUCAAUUUCCAACCCAUAUCUCAUAAAGAAUUUCUCACUCAAAUAAAUAAAUAUUAUCCGGUAAUGGUAUGACAUUUAUUUUGAAGUAAACACCGGCACGCCAUUUUCUCAUUUUUUUCAUUUUUUGAGGACACCAUUUUCUCAAUUGAAGAAUAUAUUUUGGCCAAAAUUCACAAUGUUCUCCACAUGAUUUAAAGCACACAGAAUUCACACUUGUCUCCACAUGAUUUAAAAGCACAAGGAAUUCUCUUGACCUUAAUUACGAAUCUUUUUAUGUUUAUUGAAAUCCAAUAUUGUUGACUCAUUGGUGUAGCCAGAAAAUCAUAUUAAUAUAGUAGAAUUUAUAAAUAACCAAAGAAAAAAGUUCACGCUCUUACUUUAUUACUUUUAUAAUUUUAUUAGUACAUCUACUAACAUGUCUUCAUAAAAUAUAGUUUUAAGAGGAUAUUUUUAUGGUUGUAGAUAUUUUUAUUUUUCUUCUUAAUAAUAGAUUUAAUUUUCAUCUUUCUAAUGUUAAGUUGCACAUUUGGACUAAAUCAGAUUAAAUUUCAAAUUAGAUGACAGGCCUUAUUUUAAUAGAUUCAAUUGGAUUUUGGACAUCUAAUUAAACAACUGGAUUAAUAAAUUGCAAAUGAAUGAGAUUUAUAUGUGAUUUUAAAAUAAAAUUUGAACUUAAAUCUAUGUAUUCAAUUAAUCCAACAAGACAAAUUUAUAAUUUCUACCACCUAAAUAAAAUAUGUUAUCAGAAACUUUUGGACCAAGUAGGGGCAGUUCAUCACUUCGUCGGCCUGCUACUACUUAUACUCCUUUCUCAUUCAACUUUCACAUCUUUUAUAUUAUAUACAAACUAGAUUUGUCAUGCAAGUAUUUGACAGAAGAAAUCUCAUUGGAAAUCGGACAACUUCAAGAAAUUCAUUUAUUGAAUUUGUCACAUAAUUGCUUGUCGGUUUAUAAACCAAAAAGGUAUUCCAAAUUAAAAGUGGUAGAGAGCCUAGACUUUUCUUACAACAGAUUAAGUGGUAGAAUUCCUCCUUAAUAGACUGAGCUCAAUUUUUUGAUCUGUCUUCAAGACGUCAUACAACAACUUGUCCAACCUGAUACCAAACAAAGAGCAGUUUGCCACAUUCAAUGAAGGCAGUUAUGGAGGAAAUCUGCAUCUUUGUGGUCCAACAGUUAAUAAGAGUUGCAACAAUGCGGAGGAAAUACCAGCAAUAGAAUCCAAUCGAGGAGAAGAUGAAGAUGAAUGUGCAAUUGAUAUGGUGUCAUUCAGUUGGAGUUUCGGUUCAUCAUAUGUCACAUUCAUCAUGGGGUUUUUCGCGAUACUUUGGAUAAACUCAUACUGGCGCAGAAUGUGGAUCUAUUACAAUCAUGUAUUCACUAGGCCAUACGCGUGAUGUGCUUUUCUGCUAAAACUAGUUCACAAAUGUGAUUUCAUUAAAAUUAGUCUAUACACAUCUUUCCCUUGGCUUUUGUUGGCUCCAACUCCGGACUUUUAUUCAUAUCAUUACUUUAUGUAGUUUCCCCAAAAGGCUUGUGAUGAUUAAUGCAGUUUAUAAAUUAUUACUACUACAAUAAUGAUAUAAUAAAUAAUUUUUUUUAAGUUGUAAAAGUGAGAAAUACUAAAGAGAUCUUUAUUACAUCAUUAAUGUUCGAUCAAGAAUUUCCUCAUCCGAGCUUGCAGUCUGUGGAGGAGACUGUAUCAAUGUCGAAAUUCUCCGGACCGGCACUAUUUGCUGUUUCUCCAUUGAAUAGUGCGUCUUACUACAACAAGGUGAAACACAGCCCAGUGUUCUGAUUGGGCCCAAUGCGAAAAACAUAAAACCCAAAUUUUUGUUGACUUUGGGCCUGCUCAAAUACCAUGCCCAAUUGUGUCUAGUUGUAACAAAAGCGGCGAGAUGUUCAUGCCCAAACCCGCAAGAUUGUUUUAAUAUUUAAAAUUUAACAUGAUUCUAGAAUUUUUGUUAAUAAAAAAUAAACCACCAAGAUUCUAGUGAAUAACAAAUGUAUACAUAUACACGUGCUGUGUAGACCGGGCCAAUUCUUGUGGAAUUCUCCAACAACCAUCCUGAUUCUUGAAUUGCCGCGAAAAUUCCGCAAGCGAUGAACCCUCUCUUACGCACCACUCAUUCUCUAUCACAAUGAUCAAAAUAAAGACGAGGACGGAGACUAUUAAUCACUGAGAGUGAUUUUCUCAAUAUUUGUCAAUCACUACUAAGAUUCAUUGUCAAUCAAUAAUAUCAAUUGACACAAAGAUUGAUUGUCUUUUUUUUUUUUUCGAGAAUAUCAGUGCUUGAAUACAUUAUUUGAUAUAUAUAAUUCAAUGUAAACUCAAUCAUACUCUUAAAUUAUUUUUAUAAAUUCUCAAUAUCAGUCUUUGAUUUUAAUUCGAGUUUUGAUUCAAAUUAAUGCAAGGAUACAAAAGGACUCAAGAGCUUCAUAUAUCAAUUCUAUGUUAUUAACUUAUUAUUUCGGUGUACACCACAAAUUUAUGAGUAAUUUAUUAAAAUGUCUAAACAUAUAUGAAAAAUAGUUGAUUAUUGAUUUUCACAAAUUUCAAUAUAUCAAACAUCCUAUCGAGUUAUUAAUUCCAAAGCACAUUAUUUAAGAAUCAAUGCUAGAAUAAAUUAUUUGAUAAUUUCAAACCCAAAUUUACGCUUAAAUUCUUUAAAUUAUCUCAAUCAACUUUUUUUUUUCUUAGCUGACCAUCUAUAUCAGCUAUUGGAAAAAAAAAUAGAAUUGACGACUACUUGUAUGUUGGCCUAAUUUGAAAGUCAAUCAACAUUUAUUUUCCAUGUAAUGUUAAUGAAGCAUUUCCCUCAUUGGUCCAACAUUGCAACAUGUGGAAUUUCAGGCUUACAAUUCCUCAUUAGUCAUUACAGAUACCGAAAUUGAUUGUCAGACAAUAUUGUCAUUUCAAUAUAUGCCACAAUUUUAUGAGUAAUUUACUAAAAUCUUUAAAUAUAUAAAAUUUGCAUGUGUGUAAUAAACCUGUAUUUAUAUAUAAAAUUUGCAUAUUUAAAUUGCACCUCUCCAUGCAUCAUAUAAAAUGUCAUUUCAAUGUGAUCCACACUUUUAUGAGUUAAUAACUAAAUAUUGUCACUAAAUUUUUCCUAAUUGUUGCAUGCAUUAGAUUUUUUUACGAAAAAAAAAACAUGCUACAUUAAGUGUAAAACAAUUGAGGAAAAGAUUAGAGAACACAAUGAGAAAAGAAAUUUUUUAUACAACCUUUUCAUCAAUAAAAAUCAUAUUCAUACUAAUCAAUUCUUCAUUCCUCUUGGUAUUAACAGACUCUCACAUCCUACAAAAUCUAACCCUUAUCAUCCAACUAUCUUUAUCAUUAUUUAACUCAUGAAGAAAAGAGUACUCCAUGAAGCACACAAUACUAAAAAUUCAAAUAAGUCAAAAAUAAAAAUGCAAGAAUAUUUCUAAGGAGGAUGUUGGUUAAAUAAUAAAAAACCCAAACAUAACAAAUCUUAAAUACUUAAUGUUUAUAGACUUUGAAGAAGUCAAAAGACAUUAAACAAAAUGUUGCAUAAUUAAAUAUGGAAUUAUGACAUUAAAAUUAGGCCCUAAUGGCAUUGGUGAGUGAAGAUGAAGGAACCUUCCUUCCUAUAUUAAUUAGUUGAUGUAUUUUAAGUCACUAAAGUUUAGUUGUUGGCUUAAUAAAAUAAAUGAAUGUUUCAAGACUUAUAAUUAAUUAUUAUUAAUGGUUGCAUAUUAUUGAAUUUAAAUAGAAAGAGGAAGAGACAUGUAAUUUUUUGUAAUCUAAUAAUUAUUUUCUAUUUUGUAAUGUAAUUAUUUUUUAAUCUCAACCAAUAUAUUAGAUAAUAGAGAAUAUAAAAAGAUAAGAAAUAAUGAUGUCACAAAUCUUAAAUACUUAAUGUUUACAGAGUUUGAAGAAGCGAAAAUGCACUAAACAUAAGGUUGCAUAAUUAAAUAUAGGAUUAUGGUAUUAAAAUUAGGCUCUAAUGGCAUUGUUGAGGGAAGAUGAAAGAAACUUUCUUCCUAUAUUAAUUAAUUGAUGUAUUUUAAGCCACUAAAGUUUAAUUGUUGGCAUAAUAAAAUAAAUGAAUGUUUUAAGACUUAUAAUUAAUUAUUAUUAAUGGUUACAUAUUAUUGAAUUUAAAUAGAAAGAGGAAGAGACAUGUAAUCUUUUGUAAUCUAAUAUUUAUUUUCUAUUUUUAAUAUUUUGUAAUGUAAUUAUUUUUUAAUCUCAACCAAUAUAUUAGAUAAUAGAGAAUAUAAGAAUAUGAGAAAUAAUGAUGUCACAUCACCUCUUGUAGUCCCAACUCUCUCUCUCUCUCUCUCUCUCUCUCUCUCUCUCUCUCUCUAUAUAUAUAUAUAUAUAUAUAUAUAUAUAUAUAUACAUACAUAUUAUUUUCUAAAAAGUAUUUCUAAUUGUUUAACGUUUUAUUUAUGAGUAUUUUUAAGAGUUUAAAAAAUAUGGGAAACAGAAUCAAUUUUAUCAAAUAAAAAGAAUAUUGGUCAUUUUCUUCAUAAAGAAAGUGUUAAAAUACUUUUGGUAUUUAAGAAGUAACAAUUUUUUUUUUUGUUUCAUAAAAAAAGCAUUCAAAAUUAUAUUAAAUAAAAUUAAAGAUUAACAAAACUGACGUCUGAAUUUCGUGUAAAUUAUAAUAAGUUUAUCUCCAGCAUGAAUGACAUUAUAGCGUGGCUAGCAUCAUCAAAAUUCUGGUAACAUUCCAAGGUUGUCAAACUAAUCAUCUCAAAAUGUCAUUAUACUUGUAGCGUGCGGGCAUCAUCUUUACUUUCAGCAUCAAAAUUCUUUUAUUUAAUACACUUUUAUUUUAUACAAUUUUUAUCAUAUUAAAAUCCUUUGUAAUUUAAGCUCUCUCGGACUUUUAAAAAUGUUAUGCCACCCCUUCUUUAGCAGUAAUAGUAUAUGAUUAUGAUUUAAUUAUUUUAUUUUUUAAUUUAUCAAACACCAAUCACUUAAAUUUAACCUAAGAAAAAAUUAGAACAUCAGAUAAUUUUAAUUGAUUCUUAUUAAGUACUAGAAUUAACUGCUCCCAAUGAUAAUUUAUUAAGCAAACCAUAGUGAUCAUCUUACACUAAAGAACCAACCCAUCUUCAAAACACAAGAAUUUAGUACAAAUAAUUAUCCCAAUAAAGUUUAACGAAAAAGGAAAGAGAUAUUUUUAUUAUUUCUUUUCCUUUCUUUCAUUUCAAUUUCUUGCCUCCUGAGCUCUUCUAAAAGCCAACCAAACCACUUAUUUAAAAAAAAAAAAAAGGAACCAGACAAAGCGCAAGAAAAAAAAUUAAAAAAUUCGCAGUCUACACACAUCCCAGCACCGUAUGCGUCCAAUAAUUCAUCUCCAAUAAUUGCCCCUAUAUGACCACCGGUUUGUACUUGCAUAUAUGUGAAACAGGAUAAAAUCACAAUGUGUCAUUUAAUUAGCAGAGGUAACAAGAUCCUACAGAAAAGGGUUUACAGGAAAAGAAAGGAAAAAAAAUUGUUACAACAUACAGAAACCCAAAUAUUCUACUGGCUAACCCCCAUUAAAAUUCGAAACCAUUCUUAAAUCUCAGCUUAUACUACUUCAUCAUUCCUUCUGUGUACCCCCAACUGAAUUUCUGGCAGAAAUCACAUUUCUUCGUUAGCCUCAACUCAUGCAUCUUUUACUUUUAAUCAAACAUACUUUUUUAUCUGCUGGGCUUUUUAACAAAGAAUAAUUUUCCUUAGAUCUUUUCUAAUAGACAAGAAAGCACAAAGCACAAAUAUCUAGGAAUGUUUUUGCCCUUCAUCAUAGCACUUGCAAAGGCUCCAGGGUAUAGAAGAACCUUGGCUACAAAUUCCUGGGAAGACUUCACUUAUAAUCAACUGGAAGGAUGUCACCUCUACGGGCGUUGUACAUUUUCCACUUCUACGUGGUAUCCUGCAGAAACAAACAAUAAAACACGUGUUAUACAAGUAUUUUUUAAGUAUGAAAUACAUCAAAAGCAUUUAUGAUGCCAUUAAGUUUAGUCAAUACAAUCUCUCAAGGCAGGACAAGAGAUUUGAGAUUCAAACUCCACCUACGUAGGAAAGGAAUGUCAAAAAGAAAUGCGGUUGGGAUAGGUUAUUACGUUUUAUUCUUUUUAUUACUAGAAUUGAAUAAUGCUGCCUUUGACAGUAAAAUAAACGUCAAGUGAUAAUUGAAUUAUAAAAAAGUGAGGUAAAUGGUGAGAAAUAAUCACCAUUAUAAUUUAUAAUAUAAAAUGAGGAAAUAAUUAUGGAAGAAAUGGAAAGAAUUACCUGAAAAGAGGGAUUUGGAAGACAAUGAGACAAAAAUAUAAGGAAGAAGAAAUCGAAGAUAUAAUGCCUGCCCAUUUCUUUGACGAACCUGUAAAAUGUCGUGAUUGAGGGAAUUAAACCGUAUGACGUUUAUGAAAUACUAACUAGGCAACCCAAGAGGGGGGUGAAUUGGGAUUUUAAAAAUUAUCCUAGGCAAACCACACAACAAUUUAAUCUAAUGCCUUAAUAAAUUCGAAAACAAUAAAUUCAAUAAAAGCACAAUAAUAAAUGAGUAAGGGAAGAGAAAGCAAACCCAAGGAUUUUUACGUGGUUCGGCAAUCCCCGCCUACGUCCACGCCUCCAAGCACACCGGGCUUGAGGAUUUUACUAAGCUAGCCUCCCAAGGCUUCAAACGCUUACAAUUGACUUCCAAGGUGUCAAUGGACCUUUACAACAAGAGAUUAUCCCCAAUCUCUUAACCCAAGUGUAUCCCAACACUUACAAUCUUUUAACUUGAUUUUACAAAAAAGAUUACAAAUGAAUCUCUCUCACACAAUGUGUUUGAUCACAAGUGAAAGCUCAAUGUGUGAAUGAAUGAGAUGAAUACAAAGAUUUAAAGCUCAAUGAAAGUUGUAUUCUCAAUAUUUUGCUCAAUGAUGAUCGUUGGAAUUCUUCUUGUUUGAAUUGGAUUGAGAUUAUUUAUAGUUGGAGCUGAAAAACUAGCCGUUAUAGACUGUCUGCUAGAAAACGGUUCGCCGUUAACCAUUAACGGUUAACCGUUUAGGCCGGUCAAAGUUACCGUUGGGCCAAUUUUCAAAUAAACGGUUAGCCGUUUAUUCUUACCCUUUCGCCGUUAAUUUCCAGAGACCUGCAAAACAAAUUUGGUUUAACCGUUCUUAUUAAACGGUUCAAGGUUAACAAUCUGGAAAUAAUCGGUUAACCGUUUUCAGUAAACGGUUCACCGUUAGUUUCCAGAAUCAUCAUUUUAAUAAUACUUUACAGAACAUGCUUUCUGGAAAUUAUCGGUUAGCCGUUUUAAAUAAACGGUUAGCCGUUUGCUACAGUGAUUGCUACAGUGAAAAUAUUUUCUAAAUUUAUAAUUUAACCCCAAAACUUUAUAAAACUUUAUUACGGCCCAAAACGUUAUGAAACUUUGCACAUAGGUCCAAUUUCAGAAUUUCUAAAUAAUACUUUGUUAAUCCCAAAACUUUUUGAAAUUAUGGUAUAGCCCAAAAUGUUAUGAUACUUUUCAAAUAAGUCCUUUACCAAGAUUUCAAGCAAUACUUGUUUAUUUCAAAGUUUUCAAAAUUCUUUCAAUUAAACCAUAAACUUUGAAAAACAACCAAUUUCAUAAAAUCAUUUUUCCAUUAAAUAUGAAACAUUUAUAAUGUGAAAAUAAUGAUUUAUUUAAAAAGAAUAAAAACAAUCAAUUUCAUAAAAUUAUUUUUCCAUUAAAUAUAAAACAUUUAUAAUGUGAAAAUAAUGAUUUAUUUAAAAAGAAUAUUAAAUAAUUUGAGCUUAAAAGAUUAAUCAUUCUUAAUCUUAUUUGUUAUCAUCAAAAUCAAUAUUAUGAAAAUAUAUAUGUUAACAGUUUACUUUGGCGGCCCCCAGUCUUGUCAAUCAGAGAAUAUGUUUUGGCCGAAAUUCACAAUUCUUACCACGUGAUUUAAUUAAAGCACACAGAAUUCGUAAUUUUCUCCAGACAAUUUAAAUUAAACCCGCACUCUUUAUGGACUCCACUUUUAAGAAGGAUAUUGCCCACCGAGCAAACUAACCAAAACUCUUUUCCCUUCUGCGUUCAUUCUCCAACUCGUUGUCACUUUGUUUUGCUCUUCCUCUCUAUAUGAUUUUUAAGAACUAUUAAAUGUUUGUUUGUUUCUUAAAAAAAAUGUUUGUUUUUUUUUGUAUUAGAUGAUUAUAAAUAUUUAUUUAAUUUUAUAUUUUUUUAAAUUUUUUAUUAUUGUUUCAUUAUUUUUUAGUAAAUUUUUAAAAAUUAAAUAAAUUAUUUUUAUUUCUGUUAAUAAAAAUUUAAACUUUAAAUUUUUGAGGGAUGAGAUUUAUUUUUUUUAAAUAUUAAAAUACUUAAAAUAUCUUUUAUUUAUGUAAUAAUUUUAUUUUAUUUUUUUGUUAAAUAAUUUUAAAAAAAAUUAUUUAUUAAAAUAAUUUUAUAAUUUUUAAUAAAAACUCUUAUUAUCAAUUAAAUAACUAAAAUUAUUUUCAUAAAAACUUUUAUAAUAAAAAUCCUACCACACCGCAGAGUCUGCACUUACCUGCGCGUACUGUUUAAAACCCCUCACCGGCUCUGCUCUCGCCACCAAUAUUAAGAAAGAUACUUUGUUGUGGUGGCAUUUUGGUAAAAAAUAUGGGCCCCCAAAAUAAUCAUAAUAAUUAAGGAUUUAGCUAUGUGGCAACGGGUACACCAUACACUUUUUUUUUUUUUUUUUUUGUGCUGCCACAGUUAGAUCCAACACAAAAGUAGUAUUAAGAGCAAGAUGUGUUUGUUUGUUUAUUAACAAUGCAAUCCCUAAUAUUUGUCAAAAAUUUUAAAAAGUUAAAGUUUAUAAAAUUUUGUGCCAAUAUUUUUUUCCCAAAUUCUCUUAGCACAAUUAAUUGUGUUAUGGUAUCCACUUUUGCAGGUUAUAAUCAAGAGAUCAGACAUGAUAGAUACAUAAAAAAUAAUAUAAAAUAAAAAAAUUUUGAAUUUUUGUUAAAGCUCUCAUUUCUAAUAAUUUGUUAAAAUAUUCUUUUACCUAAGAAAACAAACUCAUUGACAUAAUAAAAAGAGUUUUACUGAUAAAAUAAUAAUUAUUCAAUUAUUAGAAGUGCUACAGUUAGAUUUUUUUAAGUUGAAAAUGUAGAGAAGCAUGGAGGAGAAGAGGAGAAGAAGACACAUAAUAAAACAUAAAAAUUUUCAAUUUAUUUAUACCUGAAUUCCAUUGUAUGAUGAAUAGAUUGUAGGUACAAAAAUAUAUUUAUGUGAUUUUCUUUUAUAUAAAAAGUUCAAUUCAUUAUUGCUUAUAUGAUAUAGAGCAAAUUAAUCUUAAGGUAAUGAGAAAGUAGCUUCAAUGAGAAUGCCAAGCUUCUCUUAUUGAUUGUAAUUGAUUGAUUACAUAUUUAAUUAAAAAAAUUCAAAAGGACGUAGAGGUGAGGGUUUUGAAGAAAGAGAAAAAAGAAAUUACUUCAAUAAUUUGUAAAUACAGAAGAGAUUAGGGGGUCAAAAAAUACAAAAAGUAGGGUAUGGUGGACCCAUUGUACCGUAGCUCAACUCAAGCCAAUAAAUUAAUUGUUUUAUCCUAUAAAUAAAAAUUAAUGUUGUGUAUUUGCCUAUAACUUGAGGAGGUAAUAAAAGUCUUUCGUUAUACUCUACUGUUAGUUUCUCGCCUUUUAUUCCUCUGAAAUCUUUCAACAAAAAUGGGUGGCGUCAUCUCAACCUUCUUAUCAGCGGACACAAUUCGUCCAAUUUUAUCUUACGUUGGUGGAGAAGCUAAGUAUAUAUGGGGUCUAAAAGAUAAUCUUGAUGACUUGCAGACUCAGAAGGAGAAGUUGAUUGAGAAAAAAGAAGAUAUGCUGAAUGAGGUUGAGCUUGCUGAACAACGACCCCGAACCAGACGGACGAGAUCGGUGCAACGCUGGUUUGAAAGAGUGGAUCGAAGGGUAACUGAAGUUGAGAGGCUGCAACAAGAAAGAGAUCAAGAGAUUGACAGAUUGUGCCUUGGAGGCUUCUGUUCCAAGAACUUGAUCUCAAGCUACAGCUUCGGGAAAAGAGUGGAGAAGAUGAAGAACGAAGUGAUCGAAUUGAAGAAAGGAGGAGAAGCAAUCAAUCCACUUUAUGAGGAGGUACCAGAAGGUGCAGCGGUUGCAAUAGCUGUUGACCGAACAAUUGUCGGUCAAGAAUCAAUACUAGACCGAGUUUGGAGAUGCAUCACCGAUCAAGAACAGAAUAAGGGAAUUAUUGGCUUAUAUGGUAUGGGGGGCGUCGGCAAAACUACUCUGUUAAAGCAAGUCAAUAACAAAUUCUGCAGUGAUGAACAGCAUCAUUUUGGUGUCGUUAUCUGGUCGGUUGUGUCGAGAGAGCCAAACUUGAAGCAGAUUCAAGUGGAUAUUGGAAAAAGGAUAGGCUUCUCAACAGAUUCAUGGCAGAGAAAAAGUUUUGAAGAAAGGGCUUCAGACAUCACCAACGCUUUAAAGCAUAAGAAGUUUGUAUUGUUAUUGGAUGAUAUAUGGGAGUCCAAAAUUGAUUUAACCGAAUUGGGCGUCCCUCUUCAAAGAUUAGAUUCUGGGUCCAGAAUAGUUUUCACAACUCGUUUUCGUGGUACUUGUGGUGAAAUGGGAGCUGACGAGCGGUUCGAAGUGUCCUGUUUGGGAGAUGACGAUGCCUGGAAAUUUUUUGAGGGGGUGGUUGGGAGAUACGUUCUCGACAAGCAUCCCGACAUUCCGGAGCUAGCCAAAGCUAUGGCAAGGCAGUGUCAUGGUUUGCCGCUAGCACUCAAAACAGUAGGUAAUGCCAUGGCGAGCAAAGAGUACCCUCAAGAAUGGAGUCACGCCAUUGAGAUCAUAAGCAGAUCAGCUUCUAAAUUCAAAGAUAUGGAAAAACAGGUGCUUUCGCGUUUGAAGUUCAGCUAUGAUAGUUUGCCCACUGACGAACUUCGUUCUUGUCUCUUGUACUGUUGUUUAUUUCCGGAAGACUCUGAAAUUCCAAAAACCGACUUGAUGGAGUAUUGGAAAAGUGAAGGAUUUGUGGAUUCUAGCAGCGGGUGGGGGGUUCUUGGUGCUCUCCUUCGUGCAUGCUUAUUGGAGGAAGCAGGCUUAGUGGACGAAGGAGGUAAUCGUGUAAAAAUGCACGAUAUGAUUCGUGACAUGGCAUUAUGGAUAGCAAAUGAAAUAGAGGAGGAGGAGGAGAACUUCUUGAUUCGUGCAGGAGUUGGAUUAACUGACGCCCCAAAGAUUGAAGAAUGGGAAGGGGUCAAAAGGAUAUCCUUGAUGGAGAACAAAAUUCAAAGUCUACCACAAAUUCCCACUUGUCCGCGUCUCCAGACUUUGCUUCUAAAUCGAAAUCAUAUUGCGAAGAUCACUGACAGUUUCUUUCAAUCUUUGCCUUCGCUUAGAGUUUUGAAUCUAAGUGGAAAUCAUUACCUAACUGAACUACCUGUAGGAAUUUCAAGUUUGGUUUCAUUACACCAUCUUGAUCUGUCUUAUACUCCCCUAACUGAACUUCCUGUAGGGAUUUCAAGUUUGGUUUCAUUACACCAUCUUGAUCUGUCUUCUACUGAAGUACGUGGGUUGCCGCAAGAGCUCAAGGCAUUGGUGAAUCUGAGAUAUUUGAACUUGGAGUAUACACGUAAAAUGUCUAGAAUUCCAGAGCAAUUGAUAUCAAGCUUUCCAAAGUUACAGGUGCUCAGGAUGCUGAGUUGCGGUUCUGAGAUAUUUCCAAUAGUGGAAGAAGGCAACGUUCUAUCCGAUGGUGCUGAACCAUUGAUUAAGGAAAUCCACUGUUUGGAACAAUUAAAUCUCAUCACCUUGUCCUUACGUGGUACGCGUGGUGUUGAAAACUUUUUGAAAUUCCCAAAGCUGCAGAAUAUCACUCAAGCUCUGUCCAUCGAACACUGCAACAGUCUACCGCUCAAUUUGUUGCAUCUAUCAAACAUGGAGCAUCUUGAGAAGCUACACAUCGAGGAAAGUAAUUUGGAAGACUGGAAUGUCGACUGCGCAGGCGAGGUACAAAAAAUGCGUAAACUUCACUUUGUUACAAUAUACGAAUGCUCAAAUGUGAAGGACUUUACGUGGCUUGUUUUUGUUCCAAAUCUCAAGUGGCUACGAAUAUGUUAUUGUGAUGACAUGGAAGAAAUAAUCAGUGUUGAAAAAUUGAGUGAAGUUUCGGAGAUGAUGGGAGAGCUUAACUUGUUCUCAGAACUCGAACUUCUGGUAAUAAGAAAUGCAAGUAAUUUGGAGCGCAUCUACCGCGUUCCCUUGCCCUUUCCACAGCUGAAGGUAAUUGACAUAUCGGAAUGCCCAAAGUUGAAGAAGCUCCCGCUCAAUUCCAGCAGCGCAAAGGGACGUAAAAUUGUCAUUUACGGGGAGAAAGAAUGGUGGGAAGAGCUACAAUGGGAGGAUCAAGCCACUCAAAAUGCUUUCUCUCCCUGUUUCCUACCUGAUGAAUAAUAAAGUGCAAUAAGGCGCAAAAGUGUGAAUAAAAUUUCUGCGUGUGCUUAAUGUUAGGCACUAUUAUUCAGGCUUAAAUAAUAACAAUAAAAUACUACACCGUGUCUGCUUUCUUUUACUUUUCUUGGUUCUGUUGUAAAAUUCAGUUCUAUUUGAAGGAAAUUAUUAACAUCAAAACUAAAUACUUCGUGAGCAUCUACUGACAACAUACUCCAGAUGACACCAUAACCAUAUCAUAUAAAGCAAGAAAUGUGAAAUAAAUACAAAAUGAAUCACAGGAGGAAAUCACCACACUCUGCGGUCUCUCCUGCUAAACCCUGCAGUUAGAAUGCCAUUUGUCGUGAGCACCUGAAUCCCCAAAGGACUCCCAGCUUCAAGUGGCUUUGACUUAGCUUGCUUUAGCUCCAUUGCACAUACUCACUCACAUGGAGGAAAUGAACAGAACAAGAAACCUCAUCAAGCCGAAUAUGAUAGAUAUGACAAGGCAUUACACUGUAGGAAGCUCCCGAUUUCUCUAAAAAACUUUGCAGGUUCUCCGCAAUCAAGGCGUGCUCCAUCUUUAACAGAUCACUUCUACCAUUAAGAGAAGGGAGAGAGUUCCUCUCGUGUGACAGUAAAUCCUUACUUAACACAGGAUUGGAGCCAACCAAGAAGGGAAGGCAAUUUCGUUAGAUUAAGAACCGAAUCACCAUCCAAAAUAGUAGCAUUUGAACCAGAACUCUUGUUAAAUUCUUGAAAUCUCCUGCUUUCAUCAGUCUGUAAGAGAAAUGAAGAUGAGAAUAAUAGCCAGAACCGGAUUAAAUUCAAUCUGGUCUUUUGAAGACUUCUAUAACAACUAAGAGAACCCAGUGUACCGCCUACAGAUACUGUCAGGCUUCUAUCAAAUAUCCCAAACACCAAAAACAAACCAAAUUAAGCUAACAAACCUGCAUGAAUAUCUAAAUUUCAAUGCACAUGAAACAAACUCCGUCUUCAAUCCACCAAAACUAGCAAAUUUCAAACUUUAUCCCUCAUCACUCUCUCUCUGUCAGCUGUAUGAGGCUACGAGAUCAUGUUAUAAUGUUCAUAUUGAUGCUGAAUGUUUUGCCAGCUUGUCUGAAUUCCAUAAGAGAAUGCAAUUUGCACAUUAUUGUGCCUUGCCCACCAUUAGAUUCUAAACCACAAAAUCAUUGUGUGAGUAGCUGACGUUUCGCACAUUCUUAUCCCUUAUCAUCAAUAUUCUUCUCCUCAAGCUUAGAUCAUGGAAAUUUGAGUGACAAACAUGAUAACAUGGUAACACCAUCUAAACUUUAGGGGCAUAAAGUAACAUAGAAGCAACAUGGGAUGUUUUAAAAUCUAUUAUAAUUUGCUUAGGCCCCUGAAUAAAAUUAAAACUUGAAAUGAAAUAAAGUAGCAAAAUAAAGAUUGGAGGUCGCAUGCUUGAUAUUUGAUGCUGUCAAAAUUAAUUUGCAGUGCUGAAAUUGCUGCUCCAAUAAAUUUUUCAAUGGGAUUUCUAUAUUUACAACAAAUUUUCAGUAUUGAAACAGGAUUAAAAUCAUAAAGUGUCUUUUAAACAGCAGAGGCAACAAGAUCCUACAGAAAAAGAAGGCAAAAAGUAGUUACAAGCUACAGAAACGCAAAUAUUCUACUGGCCCACUCCCACUAAAUUCGAAGCGAUUCUAAAAUCUCAGCUUGUACUACUACAUCAUUCCUUCUAUGUGGCCCAACUGUACUUCACCCAGAAAUCACAUUUCUUCAUCAGAGAUAAUUUUACUUCUAAUCAGAGAUUAUUUUUUAUAUGCAUGGCUUUACAGUAAUGAAUAAUUUUCCUUAAAUCUUUUCUAACAGACAAGAAAGCACAAAGCACAAAAAUUCAUAUAAACAACUUUUCUCGAAGCUUUUUCAUAAGAAAACCUGAACAUGAUUGCUUCUCUUAGAAGGCCCCCUAGCUUCCUGCAAGAACCUGGUGUUCCAAAAAAAAAUGAUUAUAAUUAGGCAUAAGGUCCUAAUGUUCUUGCAGGAAUUAUGAUGAAUAUCAGGGUUUCAAAAAAAAAAAAAUUAAGACAACGAUUACGGAUUUAAAGCACACAGAAUUUACACUUUUCUCCAUGUGAUUUAAAAGCACACAGAAUUCUCCUGACCUUAAUUGAAAUCCAAUAUUGUAGACUCAUUGUUGUAGCUAGAAAAUCAUAUUAAUAGAGUAAAAUUUAUAAAUAAUCAAAGAAAAGAGUUCACGCUCUUACUUCAUUACUUUUAUAAUCUUAUUAGUAUAUCAACUUACAUGUCUUCAGAAAAUACAGUUUUAAGGGGAUAUUUUUAUGGUUGUAGAUAUUUUUAUUUUUCUUCUUAAUAAUAGAUUUAAUUUUCAUAUUUCUAAUGUUAAGUUGCAGAUUUGGACUAAAUCAGAUUAAAUUUCAAAUUAGAUCACCGACCUUAUUUUAAUAGGUUCAAUUGGAUUUUGGACAUCUAAUUAAACAACUGGAAUAAUAAAUUGCAAAUGAAUGAGAUUUAUAUGUGAUUUUAAAAUAAAAUUUGAACUCAAAUCUAUGUAUUCAAUUAAUCCAACAGGACAAAUUUAUAAUUUCCACCAACUAAAUAAAAUAUGUUAUCAGAAACUUUUGGAUCAAGUCGGGGCAGUGUAUUACUUCGUGGGUCUGCUACUACUUAUAGUCCAUUCUCAUUUCAACUUUCACAUCUUUUAUAUUAUGUACAAAUUGGAUUAUAUUCUAAAAAAGUGUUUCUAAUUGUUUAACGUUUUAUUUCUGGGUAUAUUUAGAGAUUAAAAAAUAUGGGAAACAUAAUCAAUUUUAUCAAAUAAAAAGGAGUAUUGUUCAUUUUUUCAUAAACAAUGUGUUAAAAUACUUUUGGUUUUUAAGAAGUAACAAUUUUUAUUUUCAUAAAAUAGCAUUCAAAAUUAUAUUAAAUAAAAUUAAAGAUUAACAAAACUGACAUCUGAAUUUCGUGUAAAUUAUAAUAAGUUUGUCUCCAGCAUGAGUAACAUUAAAGCUUGGCUAGCAUCAUCAUAUUUUAUCUCCAGCAUCAAAAUUCUGAUAACAUCAACAUCAUAAUUCCAAGGUUGUCAAACUAAUCAUCUCAAAAUGUCAUUAUACUUAUAGCGUGCUGGCAUUAUCUUUACUUUCUGCAUCAAAAUUCUUUUAUUUAAUACACUUUUAUUUCAUACAAUUUUUUAUCAAAUUAAGAUCCUUUGUGAUCUAAACUCUCUUGAACUUUUAAAAAUCUUAUGCCACCUCUUCUUUAGUAAUAGUAAUAGUAAUAAUAUGAUUAUGAUUUAAUUAUUUUAUUUUUUAAUUUAUCAAACACCAAUCACUUAAAUUUAACUCAAGAAAAAAUUAGAACAUCAAAGAAUUUUAAUUGCUUCUUAUUAAGUACUAGAAUUAACUUCUCCCAAUGAUAAUUUAUUAAGCAGACCAUAAUGAUCAUCUUACGCUAAAGAACCAACCCAUCUUCAAAACACAAGAAUUUAGUACAAAUAAUUAUCCCAAUAAAGUUUAACGAAAAAGCAAAGAGAUAUUUUUAUUAUUUCUUUUACUUUCCUAGUGGCUCUGCUACUACCUAUAGGCUAUAGUCCAUUCUUAUUCAACAUUCAGAUCUUUUAUAUUAUAUGCAAAUUAAAAUAUAUUCUAAAAAGUGUAUCCAACUGGUUAACAUAUUAUUUCUAGAUAAUAAUCAAUUUUAUCAAAUAAAAAAGAGUUUUUGGUCAUUCAUUUGGCUCCGUUGCCACUUGUACGUUACAAAAGCUUUUGUCUAUGCUGACUCAGUUACUGUAAAAUGUCGUUCAGCCCCUUAUACUCUAUGUUAUUUAUAAUUUAUUUAUAAGAAUUAUGAAAAUUUCUACUUACCUACACUAUCAAAAUUCAAUUUAUCUCCUCACAAUCUUUUUCAUUUACUAUUUUUUUCUAAGUAUUAAAAGAGUUCUAUUUACAACCACGACAUAUUAAUCAUCAUAACACACAAAUAUUAAUAAAAAGAUAAAAAUAUCCUUAAAUUAAUACUAAAAAUGCUUUCCUCUCUUCUUUAUAAUAUCAUAUUAUAAUAAUUAAUACUUUCAUGAUAAAAGAAUUAAAAAAAUAAAAAUAAAUUCCCUUUGAAUCCAUCCCUCUCUAAUAUCAUUUUCUCUUCAUUAGGAACAUUUAUCGACAAUUGAAGCCACCAUCAGACUCAUCACACAGAGAGAGUGAGAGAGGGGAAGAAGAAACAGAGAAAAAAUAUAUGAGACAUUUACAAUUUUAUAGUGUGUUUAUUCAACGGGAUUUAUAUAUAGUUGCUAAGGGGUUUCAUCAGACACAAGGAGUUGAUUACACUGAAACUUUUAGUCUAGUAGUUAAGGCUUCAACAGUCAAAGUUAUUCUUAGCCUAACAGUACUUAACAAGUGAAUAAGCAGACAAGUGGAUGUUAAUAAUGUCUUCCCCUAGCAGUACUUAACAAAUGAAUAAUCAGACAAGUGGAUGUUAACAAUGCCUUCCUUAAUGGCAUUUCAGUUGAAGAAGUUUACAUGGCACAACCUGAGGGGUUUGUGGAUCCUACUAAACCCCAACACAUCUGCAAAUUAAAAAGGACUAUAUAUGGCUUGAAGCAAGCUCCCAGGCUUGGUUUGACAAAUUCAAAGCUGCAAUGAUUACUCAAUGGCAUUUUCAACACUCAAAAUCAGAUAAGUCUCUCUUCUAUAAAUGGAUCAAUGGUCAUGUAAUUCUAGUUCUGGUUUAUGUUGAUGAUAUCAUACUCACUGGUUCAAAUUCUUACUUAAUUCAGCCAGUCAUUCAAGACAUGCAUCACACCUUUGCUUUAAAAGACUUGGGAGCUCUUAACUAUUCUCUAAGAAUUGAAGUGGUUAAAUUAGCAAAUGGCAUUUAUCUGUCUCAAGCAAAAUAUAUUGCUAAUAUAUUGGCAAACAUGAUAUGGUUCACUGCAGUCCAUUACAUAUUCCUAUGUCUACCAGUCACUACCUCACAAAAGAUUCAAGUGACAUUAUUGCAAAUGUGUCUCAGUACAGAAGUAUCUUAGGUGCAUUGCAAUAUGUUACUCUUACAAGGCUUGACAUAACAUAUAUAGUUAAUAAACUAAGUUAGUUUUUAUUUAGUCCUCGAACACAACAUUGGGAGGCUCGCAAAAGGUUGCUAAGGUACUUAAAAAGAAUUUUACAUCUUCGAUUGCAUUAUUACACAAAUGGAGCUAUGCAGAUACAUUAUUUCAUAGAUUCUAAUUGGGCAUGUGAUAGGGAUGACAGGAAAUCACUUGCUAGUUUUGCAGUCUAUCUAGGUCCCAAUUUAGUCUCAUGGUCAUCCAAGAAACAAGCAGUGGUAUCAAGGUCAAGUAUAGAAGCAGAAUAUAGAGCAUUAGCUCAUGCUACUUCAGAGGUCAUGUGGAUACAAUCUCUUCUUAGUGAGUUGCAAAUUAAACUUAGCACCACUCCCAUAAUAUGGUGUGAUAAUCAAGAAGCUAUUGCCUUAGCAUACAAUCCAUUUUAUUAUGCCAAAACCAAACAUGUUGAGCUAGAUAUACACUUCAUUCGAGACAAAGUUGUAGCUAAGAGCAUUGAGGUUAGUUAUGUGCCCAGUGAAGGUCAACCAACUGAUGUAUUAACCAAAGCUCUCACUUUUAAGCAGUUUCAUUGCUUGUGAAGCAAGCUGAAUGUCUAUCCUGGACAUUUUAGCUUGAGGAGGGAUGUUAGUGAUAUUGAAUUUCAAGCAAAGCAGAGCACAAAAUCAUUAUAUGACUGACCACAACUGAUUCACUCAUUAAGCUAACUUGGCAAGUUAGUUAUACAGCUCACCUCACAUGUAUCAAAUUUCGCGUGUGUAUAACAGAUUGUAUGAAUCAUUUAGCUUGCUAUAUAAAUAUGUAAUGUGUACUCAGUUUUCAAUUAGUUAAUUACAAAGGAAUCUUAUAUUUGCUUCUAUACAAAUUCUCUUUACUUUUCUUUCAUUUUCUUGCCAAACAACACUUUCUUUAGAAUUCUUUCAUGAAAGGCAAUGAGACAAAAAUGUAAAGAAGAAGAAAUUGAAGAUAGGGUAGGGCUAUUGGCUCUCUAAAAUUUAUUUUGGACAUUGAUGUGAUCUUUAAAAAAAAAUUACAUAAUUUUAUUCUUAGGUUAUGUUUAUCUCUUUGAGUUGUUAUCAUAGUUCAUUUUGAUUAAAUAAAAGUAGUUGUUGUAUUAACAUAAUUCUAAUGAACAUAGGUUUUAUUGUGCUUUUAAUCUUUAGGUCCAACUUCUGUAAGAUAGUAUUUAAACCAGCAUCAAUGUCAAUAAUAGCAGGCUGAAAUGUUUCUUUUGGAGACUGAAUAGUUGUAUUGGGAGAUAUGUCCCUCAAAGUACCAAAAACAUAUUUAUUAAAGCUUAGUUUCCUUGAAUUUGCCCAUUUAUCACUUGUUCUUUUUAUUUUGUUUGAUUUCCUGUUGUAAUAAUUUGUGUCUGUAAGACUAUAACAGACACUCACAUUUUAAUAGUUCUUUAUAUCACUAAAUUAACCUUAAUGUAAAAUUAACCGUAAUGUAAUUUACUAUUAAGGACAAUUUAAUAAAAUAUAGUUCAAUAAAUUUUUAUCCAACAUCUUAUUUUAUCUACAAUAAACUAGAUAAACAAUGAAGAAAUGAAUAAAAGUUCACGUGAAAACGAUGUCUAUACUUAUGGGCUAAACCUUUUUUUUUCAGUUUUUUUGUUAAUAGAAUUGUUAGGAAAACAUCAUGUAACACGUUCCAUCUUUUGUAACAAAAGGAAUUAAAAACAGAGGUGGAGGAAGAACAAUAAAUUGCACCACUACAACAUAUGAAAAACGAAAGAAAUCAAAGGAUAAAAUCUGUUUCAAAUUUGUUUUCUGAUCUUCACUCAAUCUAAUCUGCAUGCUUUCAUGGAUUUGAAAAACAAAAUUGAAUUGCGACAUUAAAGAGAAGAACAAACAUAUGUCAAACCAUAUUAUGAAAGCAAAAUAAAAGUUGAUAAAAAAUGAAAAAAAGUUCAAACAUUUUGUUUGUGAUGAUGAAUAUUUUAUUAGAUGUAAAGAGGAAAUAAGAUAAUUAAAGAAAUGGGUAAUGAGAACAAUAAAGGAAGUCGAAAAAUAUUUCAAAUACAAAUUAAUAUUUUGAAAUUAUUAAUUGAGUGUUCAAAAUAAAUUUUAGAAUGUAAGAAGUGCAUCGCUGCCCAUUUCUUUGAUGAACCCAGUAGAAACAGCUUUAAAAUUAUAGAAACUGUAAAACGCUGUAAAAGUGAAAACUUUAAAAAGCUUGCUCUAGUAUUUAAACCUUUAAUAGUGCAAAGUCACAAGUCUUGCAGCUAGUUGAUAUAUCCCCAAGCUAAAAACAUGUGUUGUAUACUCAUUUUUUAUAGUGAUACUAGAACUAUUAUUAUCUUAUGUCUAUGUACGUAUGUUUACAAUUUAUUUCAUAAAUUUACUGAGACAAGUGCCGAAAUUUAUGGCGAAGUACGUCCAAUCUAUUGUCACUAAGGCCCUAUUUGGUAUUUAGAUAAUGUAGUUUUUGUGAAAAAAAAUAAUGUAAUUAAGAAAUAAAAAUUAAUAAUAUAUAGUAAUAUGACUUGUAAAUAAUAAUUUGAAAAAAAUAAUAAAGAAUUAUAAGUUUUUUCAAAAUAAAAGUGGUGGAUCAAAUUAAUUUAGCUUUCAAGUCAUAGCAAGUAGUGUUUAUCAAAUAUAAAAAGUUAUAAUUAUCCAAUCUCAAUCAGAACCUGAGCAUUUUUAGCAAAAACAAUACUUUUAUUCUAUAUUUUACAAAUAUCUUCACCAUUAUUCAGAGCACCAACCCUUAACUUUUUUCGAUUAUGUUUGGUAUAACUUUUUAAGCAGAACUUUUACUAAAAAAAAUAAUUGUUUGAUUGUCAAUGAGAUUUUUUAUUAAAAUUUCUAGAAUUACUUUAAUAGGCAAAUUUCUUAAAGUUAUGUUAUGAAAUGAAUAAAAUAAAAUUGUGAAAUAUAUAAAGCAUAUUUUAGACAAUAUAAUAUUUUUAAAAAAUUUUAACCUCUACUCCACAAAAUUUAAAAUUUAAACUUUUAUUAGUACAAAUAAAAUAAUUUAUUUAAUUUUUUAAAAAUUUUACUCAAAUUAUAAUUAAAUAAUAUUAAGUCUUAAAAAAAAGUUAUAAGAUUAAAUAAAUAUAUUUGACUGAACAUACACUAACUUGAACUCUUGAAAAAUAAAUAUUUUGCGCCACAUAAGUAGGGUCCAAUUAUGUUGCAACUGAUGUAUUAUACCAGAGUUCCUCUUUUUUUCCCCGUAUUAUUGGAUAAUUGAUGCAAAUUAAGCAAAGUUGUUGGGUGCUUCUCGUUCAAUCUAGCAGUUGAAAUUAAUUAUUGGAUAAUUGAUGCAGCGACUAGCAACCGUUGCAGCCGGUUGUAUAUUAAUUUAAUAGCAGUUCAGCGAGCGUGGGUUUCGAAAAUUUGUUAGUGCUGAUUAGAGUCUCACUGAUUUCAUCUGAAAAUUGAUCUCGAGACAUCAAUUAAGACAUAAAAUUAGAAUUAGGGGAUCGCAGUUUUUUUGGGAAUUAAAAUUUCCCUAUGAUUCAUACAUGAAUAUGGCCUCUCACUUGUAGGGAAUUGACGGUGAAAUUAUAAUCGUCACAGCAGAAUGCAAUCAAAAGUUACGGUGCUAAAAGUUUAGGCAUAUAUCAAAUUAGAGUGAAUCUCGCAUCACUUUGAUUUGGUCUUAUGCCGAUCGAAUCACCUGAUGCAGUAUGUAAUUCCUUAUUAAAACUUGCAAUUUUUUAUUUUGAAAAGAUUUAAAAUUUGUAAUUUCAUUACAGAAAUGAGGCGGGGGCUCACAAACAGAAAGCUAGCGAUUUAAAGAGCCACAGUCAAGCUUUAGAAGCCGAUGGUAACAUAGUUAGAACAAUAGAAUCUGAUAGCGUUAGGGAUUCAUAAGCUAUUUGUAAGUAUUUGUACUCCCUGACUAAAUAAUUUGGGAAUAUAAGGAUGCAAUAAGAGUUGAGUGGUCUUUAUUCCAAUAGCAUUAUUUUUUUCGAGCUUCAUCCGUGCUCUAUUCAAUCUUUAUGUGCCGCUUGUGUUAUGUUCCUGCAUAUCUAAUUACCUUUAGAUGCUAGUUGAUAUUUGACAAUUUUGCAGGUUAAGGAUAUUAGAUGGGAUGCAGAGCUUGGCAGUCAGAACAUGGAAUCACGGUUGGUUGAAUACUUUGUAGAUGAGUUUAAUAAACAAGUUGGUAAUUGGGUGAAGUGAGGAAGUCUCCCAAGGCCAUGGCUGAACUGAAGAAGCAAGUUAAAUAUACAAGAGCAAUUCUUUGUGCGAACACAAUGGAACCAAUAUCAGUUAUAUCUUUCCACGAUGAUAGGGACUUCAGAUAAGUGGAGUUAAAGUUCAGAUUUUACUGUUUGAGGUGCGUUUGAAGUUUAUUAACAAAAUUAAUGUGUUCUUUAAAUGAGUGAGGAACUGUAGAACAUGACAAGUAGAGUUUAUUGUGUGAGGGAUGCAUAUUCUCUUACAAGUGCUUUGUUCUUUAAUAUAGCACUAUAAGACAUCUUCUGAUGAAAAAUAGAGUCAAUAAAAUUACUCCAGACUGACUGGGCCGUUACGUUUUGGAUUCCAAUUCUUGCAUGAGAUUUCUUUUUCCUUUUUUUCUUUUUUCAAAUUUACUAGUGGUACUUUCAUUUGGUAAACUAUUCUAUACAUACAUAUAUAUAUAUAUAUAUAUAUAUAUAUAUAUACUCUAAUCAAUUAUAUUGGCUUAUUCUCCUUUUAUGUUGAUUCACGCUGCUGGUAUAGAUAAAAUUUAUUUAUUAGUUUUGGUGAAAAAUUUGUUUUGUUGCACACGGAUAGUAAACCCAAAUACAUUCAUAUGUGUUAGAGCAGCUCAUUAUGCUGAACAGAAGAAGGUGAAGACUAAGAUGAAGAAAAUACAGAGCAAGUUACAGGGCAAGUGUGUCAGCAGUGCCAGCUCAGCUAACAGCUCAGCAGAUUAGUUAAAGAUGGUUGUAAGCAUGAUGUGCAUUGUACUGAAGUUAGUUAGCUUUGAUUACAGUUAGUCUUUGGAUUAGUUAAAUGAAGUUACCGUGAUUGCAUUGUAUAUAAACAUGUGAUGCUUUGUAAAAAGGUUAAGCAAAAUAAAAAUCAAAGUUUGUUAAGGAAAUAUCUCCAGAAUUAUCAAUUCAUUUUCUUAGUAACCAAACAACUUUAUUUUCAUUUUCUUUCAUGGUAUCAGAGCCACUCUAAUGGCUAGUUCCAGUAGCACAACAUCAAAUCCAAAUCAAAUGAAUAUAAAUCAAUCAUCACAUAUCUCCUUUUCGUUCAGCACUCCAGUCAAAUUGGAUCGAUCAAAUUUCAUGAUUUGGCGAAAGCAAGUUCUUACUACAAUAAGAGGAAAUCGUCUUGAAGAUUUUAUUUCUGGAAAUCAAAUCAUACCAGAACAAUACAUUUCUAAUACAGUAGCUGAUGGAUCAGUACAGAGAAUCACGAAUCCAGCUUACAUCAACUGGCGAGCUCAGGAUCAAACUUUGCUUGGCUGGAUUUUGUCAUCCAUAAGUGAAGGUAUCUUAAAUACUGUUCUUAAUUGCGAAAAUUCAUUUGAAGCAUGGAGAUCAAUUGAAAAACAAUUUGGAGUACAAUCUGAGGCUAGAGUUAUGCAAUUGAGGUAUGAAAUGAAUGUCCUUAGAAAAGAGAAUAUGUCUAUUGAGGAGUACUGUUUAAAAGUAAAAGUUGUUGCUGAUAAGCUUGCUUGUGCUGGUAGCCCUGUGUCUGAGAAAGAUCUGCUAAUGCAAAUUUUGAAUGGCCUAGGACCUGGAUUUCUAGAUCUUGCUUCAAUAAUUACUGCUAAUAGAAUGUCGUAUGAUGAUGCUUAUGCAUUACUCUUAACACAUGAGGCAAGAAUGGAACAAAAUCAUAAUACUAAAGAUCUUUUUAGUGCAAACUAUGGGAUGAUGAAUGCUAACUACUCUCAGUUUAGAGGAAAUAAUAAGAGAGGUGGUUAUAGUGGAUAUCAAGGGCAAUUUAAUGCUGGAAAUAGGAAUCAAAAUGGAGGAAGAGGAAUGUUUUUCAAUUCAUUCUCAAGAGGUUUUCCAGCUGGUGGAUAUACUGGUAAUGCUGGUGGCAGAGGACAGCAAAUGAAUGCAUAUGCUUAUAAACCUGUGCUUAACAACAGGCAUAAUUUCAAUAUGAAUCAUGGCUCAACUUCAAUGUCCAAUGGAAAUGGAUCUGAUGAUAAUGUGCUUAUCUGUCAAAUCUGUCAUAAAGCUGGACAUGCAGCUGAUGUUUGUUGGCACAGACACUUUGAUGGCUAUGCUCCUCAACCCAGACAAUUUGGAAGGGGCAGAGGGCAUAAGUCUGCUUAUAUGGCUAACUUUGAUCCACAAAUUGGCUUUACUUCACAAUUUGAAGAUUCAUUUGCUACAGAAUAUCCUGGUUAUCAUGGGUACCAUCCACCUGAUAUGAAUGCAUCAGUUGCAUCAGUAAGUCAUCACUCAUCUGAUAUGCAUUCUGUACCUGGAGCAGCUUAUAUUGCAAAUUUUGAAGGACCAGCUGAUGAAGGGUGGUAUCUUGAUAGUGGAGCUACGCAUCACAUCACUAACAACAUGGCCAAUAUGCAUAUCAGAGAUCAAUUCACUGGAGCAGAUCAGCUCAUUAUUGGAAAUGGACAAGGUUUGCCCAUAACUCAUGUUGGUGAUGCAUCCUUUCUCUUUAAAAGUUCCAAUUCUACACACAAACACUCACCUAUAGUACUUAAAGAUAUUCUGUUGGUGCCUUCCAUUACCAAAAAUUUGUUAAGUAUCUCGAAGCUUACCACUGAUAACAACUUGUCUGUUGAAUUUCUUGGAAAUGUUUGUUUUGUGAAGGAUUCUCUGAGGGGACAGGUACUUCUGCAGGGUCUUGCUGAGAAAGGGUUAUACAGGCUGUUAUUGAAAUCAUCAUCAUCCUCUCAGUUAUCAUCAUCUUUUCUUUCUCACAUGUGUUCCAAUAAACCUUUGUCUAUGCUUUCUUGUUGUUGUUUCAAUUCUGUUCCUUCUGGAGUUGUUACAGAAUCUCAGAAAUCAUGUAAUCAAACUGAUGAUUCAUCUUGUAAAACUUCAGUUAAUAAAGCUAUUUUGCUUCAUAGAAAGUUUGGUCAUCCCAAUCAUCAAAUAUUAACUCAUAUACUCAAAACAGCAAAAUCUAUUCAUUUACCUGCAUAUCAAAAGCAACAAAUGCAUCAGUACAUCUGUGAGGCCUGUCAAAUGGGCAAAACACAUAAACUUCAUUUUCCAAUUACUGAAACCAAAACCUCCAAAACUCUAGAACUUAUACACACUGAUUUAUGGGGUCCUUCUCCCAUUAUUUCUAGAGAUGGUUAUCAGUAUUAUAUAAGUUUUGUAGAUGACUACAGCAGGUAUACAUGGAUUUAUCCUUUGAAGCUAAAGUCUGAGGCAUUAGAAGUCUUUAAGCUCUUUAAACUGCAGGUUGAAAAUCAGUUUAGCACAACCAUUAAGAUGAUGCAAUCUGAUUGGGGGGGAGAGUAUAGACCAUUCACUGAGUUUUUAAGCCAAUUUGGUAUCAUCUUUAGACAUCCUUGUCCUUACACUCAUCAUCAAAAUGGGUUAGUUGAAAGGAAGCAUAGACAUAUUGUUGAAUUGGGUCUGACUCUCUUAGCUCAAGCUCAACUUCCCUUUAAGUUCUGGUGGGAUGCAUUUCAUACUGCUGUAUAUCACAUCAACAGACUUCCAUCUCCUGUUUUGCACCUUUUAACCCCAUAUGAAAAGACAUUCAAACACAAACCUGAUUAUGAUUUUCUCAGAUGUUUUGGGUGUUCUUGUUAUCCUUACUUGAGAGAUUACAAUAAACAUAAAUUUGCCUACCAUUCUAGUAAGUGCAUAUUCAUUGGUUACAGUCCUUCACAUAAGGGCUACAAAUGUUUACACCCUUCAGGUCGAGUCUAUGUGGCAAGACAUGUUACCUUUGAUGAAUCAGUUUUUCCUUAUGCCACUGAGUUUGUUUUUCAUAGUCAUGCUAAAACUGAUUCUCAAAUUUCUCAUUCCCAUACACCACAGCAAAUCCAUCAUAUCUCUUCUUUGCCUGUCAAUAACAGCACUGGUAAUCUGAACUCUGUAAGAUCUGGAAGCAGCAGUUCAAGUCACUCAGAUCAUCUAGAACAGACAGCAACUGAUCAGAAUUCACAACAAGCUACCAUAAAUGACAGGUCACCUUUUCAUACAUGUCCAACAAUUGUUGAAUCUAUACAAAAUAUUCCAGAACCUCCACAUCACUCUUUGCCUAUACAAAGUCACCAUCCUAGCAACACUUCUUUCUAUCCAUAUACACAACCAAAUACACAUCAGAUGAUAACCAGAAGUAAAGCAGGGAUUUUCAAACCCAAAAUUUAUACUGCUGUGCUUACUCACAAGGAACCAGAUACUGUGCAAGAAGCAUUAAAUGAUUCAAAGUGGCUACAAGCUAUGAGGGAGGAAUAUGAUGCCUUGAUUAAGAAUAAUACAUGGACAUUGGUUCCAAGACAAGCUGAUCAGCAUGUGGUUGGAAAUAAAUGGGUGUAUAGAAUCAAAUAUAAUACAGAUGGAAGUGUAGCUACGUAUAAAGCUAGACUUGUUGCAAAGGGUUUUCAGCAAGUGGCAGGGAUUAACUAUUUUGAGACAUUUAGCCCAGUUGUGAAGUCAGCUACAGUUAGAGUAAUACUUAGCUUGGCAGUGAUGAAUCAGUGGAGAAUAAGGCAAGUGGACGUCAAUAAUGCCUUUUUGAAUGGAGAGCUAACAGAAGAAGUUUUCAUGUCUCAACCUGAUGGCUUUAUUGAUGCUCAGAGAUCUGAUUUUGUAUGCAAAUUACACAAGUCUCUGUAUGGGCUCAAGCAAGCUCCUAGAGCCUGGUAUGACAAGCUUAAAGGAUGCUUAAUAAGCUGGGGUUUCACUACUACUAGUUCUGACACCUCAUUGUUUGUUAGGAAGAUCAAGACAUCUAUGAUCAUAGUUCUUAUAUAUGUUGAUGACAUACUGAUCACAGGUCCAAAUACUGAGGAGCUGGAAGGUUUCAUAACUGAAUUCAGCAAAACUUUUGCUCUAAAGGAUCUGGGAGUGUUAUCUUAUUUCCUUGGAAUUGAGGUAUUAUAUGAUGCAGAUUGUAUGUACUUGUCACAGAGAAAGUAUAUCAGAGAUUUGUUAUCGAAGGUAGAAAUGACUGAAUGUAAGGGCAUUGAUACACCCAUGAGUACUGGCUCUAAACUGCAAAAGAUAGUUCAGGGGGAACUUGGAUACUAUCUUGAAGAUCCAACUCAUUAUAGGAGCAUAGUUGGAGGAAUGCAGUACCUGAUACUUACCAGACCUGAGAUUGCGUUUGCUGUAAACAAGCUCAGUCAGUAUGUAGCUGCACCAACACUACAACAUCUAAUGGCAUGCAAGAGAGUUCUAAGAUAUCUAAAGGCAACUCAAGAUUAUGGUUUAAAAUUUUUCAGAGAAGGAAGCUUAACACUCACUAGUUUUACUGAUGCAGAUUGGGCAUGUGACUUAGAUGAUAGGAAAUCAGUUGGUGCUUAUUGCAUUUAUUUAGGCAAUAAUUUGAUAUCCUGGUCUUCUAAGAAACAAUCAGUGAUAACCAGAUCAAGUGCCGAGAGUGAGUAUAGAGCUUUGGCAUCAGUGAGUGCAGAGCUGACAUGGUUACAAUCCUUAUUUUCUGAGUUGGGAUUAAGUUGCAUAGAAAAGCCAAUCAUAUGGUGUGACAACAUUAGUGCCACUGAACUAGCAAAGAAUCCUGUGUAUCAUUCAAGAACAAAGCAUAUCGAAAUUGAUAUGCACUUCAUUAGGAAUAAGGUUCUUGCUGGUGAGUUGAUUAUUCACUAUGUACCAAGUGAAGAACAGAUUGCAGACAUAAUGACCAAGCCUCUUUCAUUUGUAAGGUUUAACUACUUGAGGUCCAAACUCAAUGUCCAUCUUUGUCCUCUGAGUUUGAGGGGGGCUGUUAGAGCAACUCAUUAUGCUGAACAGAAGAAGGUGAAGACUAAGAUGAAGAAAAUACAGAGCAAGUUACAAGGCAAGUGUGUCAGCAGUGCCAGCUCAGCUAACAGCUCAGCAGAUUAGUUAAAGAUGGUUGUAAGCAUGAUGUGCAUUGUACUGAAGUUAGUUAGCUUUGAUUACAGUUAGUCUUUGGAUUAGUUAAAUGAAGUUACCGUGAUUGCAUACAGGUGAUGCUUUGUAAAAAGGUUAAGCAAAAUAAAAAUCAAAGUUUGUUAAGGAAGUAUCUCCAGAAUUAUCAAUUCAUUUUCUUAGUAACCAAACAACUUUAUUUUCAUUUUCUUUCAAUAUGGAUAUCUGGGGUUUGUUUUGUCUUUUAGGAGCAGCAUUACCUGUCGAAAGUUCAAAGAGCUCACUGAACUUAAGCAUUCGGGGUUGAAAAUGGACGAGAUAUAUGCAGUGGAGUUCAUUGGAGGAGCUACUAUAGUGCCAAAGUUGCAGGUUUGCAAUAUCCGCUUUGUUUUGGUAGUUAGCCCGAGUAUUAAAUUCUUGAGGCGUGUAAGGUAGUGGACUUUAGCCAAUUCAAGAGUAGAAUAUAAUAUGUUUACUUGUUUUGAUCUUAAUCUUUAAUCACUUACCCUGAAUAAGAAAUAAUUUUUUAUAUUUGCUCUGCUAUGAUGUUAUUCGGUGUUAAUAGCUUCGUUUUAUUGCUCUUUUCCGCACAAAUUCUUGAUCUCAAAAGAACUUUUAUUUUGAAUAUUCUGCGUAAGGACAAUCUGAUUUAAUACCAUCAGUGAUUUUUCAUUUUUUCUCUUUAGUUUUAAUAUGUUUGAUAACUGUAUGGUUAAGCAAUCUAUGCAAUUUUAUCUUGUCGUAUGUUUGAGCUCAUUUUUUGUUGCACUUCUGAAUAUUUGGUAUUAAUUAUGUGAUAUCGGACAAUACUAUUAACUUGUUAAUUGCUUAAAUCUAAUAUCUUGUCAAAGUCACUAAUAGCAUUUCAUCAUGCAAUGAGUUAAACAUGGAACAAAUGAUGACAUGCGGUUGUGGAAUGUGUUAGAUCUCUGGGAUUCUAUGUCCUUAUGCUUGCAGGGCAACACAAUACAUUUGUUAAAACAUUGAAGACUGUGAUGUCCGCAGAAAAUUAUACGUCAACUUAUGCACCAGGCAUGAUGAAAUUAGCCAAAGACAGUGCUUGGAAGUGGCAAGCGACAAUUUGCUUCUACCAAUGACUUCAGAUCUUAAACCUGUUUCAAGCAAGGCCAGCAAUGACAUUAUGUUCAAAACAGUUUAGCCAGACACACUUGUUCACACCCCUCUACUACAUAUAACCUAGAGGUACAUUUUUUCUUUACAUUCUUUCUAUACGAUUGGGAUUAGGCUUAUCCAGUUCAAUACAUUAUUUCACAAAACUUAUACCAACUUAUUCCUAAUUAUAGUGGACACAAUUAACUUACUUUGGCAAUUGUUUCGAAGAGGUUGACAUCAACUACCAGUGAUGACAAUCUCUUGUAAUGUUUUGGUGCUAUCUACUAAAUAUUACUACUACAUAAUAUUGACAAUUCAUCUAUGUGCAGGCCCGUGAUAACCAUUUAGAUCGACCAGAUAAAGGACUUGGACAUCAACAAUUUGCCCAGAAACCAAUAAGAUAUUGUAAUCAUAAGCAAUCACCCAUCUCUUUGGAUGGUGCUCUAUUGUGAUUCUUUCCUCUAUGACUGUUAAAUAAGCAAUGUAUUGCACUUUUGUUAUGCAAAAGUAUGGCGACCAUGUAUCAACCAGUGCAUCUAUUUUAUACACUAAUUAUGACUUACUAGAAAUUUUAUUACAUUAAUCAUUUUUAGAUAGCUACUCAUCGCAAACGAAAUAAACUGUUCAGGGACACUUGACCCAACAUGCUUGUGACCGACCUUAGAAUAAUUUUUUGUCACUUAAUAUAGACAACUUCUACGAGGUUAAUAUUUCUUCAAAUUUUAACAAAAUCAUUGGCCACAUGAAAACAUACACAUGUUUCCGUUGGCAUGUUAAGUAGACGGGAACAACAUGCGGGGUAUGUACGCCAUUACCUUAAACGAAGCAAAAUUAUCUUGUGUUUAUCAAAGUUUGAAACUAAUUCUGUGCUUACAAAGAAUGUAUGAAUAACGCAUUAUACUCAUACACCAAAUUUUAAUAUGAUGGAAUCAAGUAAUUCUGUCUUAAUCAAAGUUUUUAGACUUACAAGAUGAUGGUCAAGUUUAUAUAAAAGCAAAUAACACUGAAAUCUAAUCAUCCUAUACAAACAAAUAUGAUUUAUUCAAUUAUAGCAAACAAUUGUUUUAUCGGAGUUAAUUACAUUAUUGCUAAACUUGUAUAAGUUUUCCUGUUUCAAACAUAUCUACUUAAUUACAUUAUUCAUCGACAAUGUUACUUUGCCAGUGGAAGUUUCAUUUUUUCAUACCUUAAUCACUAUUUAAUGCUUCGUUUUCCAAUAGUUCUAAUUCUUCAAAUUUUGGUUUUAUUCUUCCAUAAUUAUAAAUUGAUACUGAUUCGCAUGACUCAAAUUAAAGUGGUUAAUUACUCUAAAGUAUAAAUCUAGCAGUCAAUAAUUACAUAAAAAUAAUUGCAAAAAAAAAGUUAAUAAGGAAUAGUAUAAAUUUAAAAACUGCCAAAGUUACGAGAUAUAUGCUUGAUAUUUAAAUCAUGGCCAUAAUACUUUCUCACAUUAUAUAUAUAUAUAUAUAUAUAUAAUGUGAUUCAGUUCUUUAAUUAACCACUCUAUGAAUAAAUAUGAGAAUUAAGUACAUAUUAUGCCACAACCUUAUUGAAGUGUUCCCACUACAAUAUUAGUAGUCAACAUUAGGUCUAAACACCCACAUAAAUCCAAGGGAUCUAGAUCUACAAAUAUUAACCACUCUAUGAAUAAACAUGGGGAUGAAGUACAUAAUUGCCACGACCAUAUUGGAAUGUUUCCACUACCAUAUUCGUGUGUCAACGUUGCGUCUAAACAUUUAUAUACAUCCAAGCAAAUUUAUAUUUGUAAAUAAAUAUAAAAUAUGGAAUGAAAAUAAUCGGUAGAAAAUAUAAAUUACAAACAAUAAACUUAAAAUACAUUUGAGAAAGUAAUUAAAUCCACAAUUUAGAUCCUUGAAUUUCACACUCAUCACCUUAGCUUAAAACAUUAGCCACUCAUAUUAAUAAAAAAAACACUCAUUUUGUUUUAUAAAUUUGUAAAAGUAUAAUACAAGAAAAAUUAAAAUAAAGAAGAGAAAAAAAAAAUCUCUUCUUAUUAACUACACUUCUUCAUAAAAUUCACUCUAAAUUUCUCUAGGAAACUCACCUCUAAAAUUCUACACACCGAAUUAUCAAAUCUCUUGCCUUUAUAUAAAGGUAAAUUCUAGGUUGAUCAAGUGUGGGUAUUUACAUGAUAUUUUUGGUGAACUUGCAACCACAACCUUUAAAUGACCUUUGAUAAUACAAAUACAAUCCAAGGGGUCCAAAAUUGCAAGUAUUGUCAUGCAUAAUAAAACGGUUCAUUCAACAUAAUCAAUGGCUAUAAAGAAGUCAAAUCGGGAUCCUCCAUUGGAUUUUUUUUUCUUAAUUAUUCAAGGUGGUUGAAUCACUAUAUUGAUAAGUAUUAAAUUUAGUAUAAAGAGGUGCAUGUGAGCUCAGACACACGACACAUAUCAACUUUUCAGAAUUAAUGUUAGAUAAAACGGCUACCAAUAUUUUUGUGAAAAUUAAAAUUAAAAUUUUUACUUUUAUUUAAUGUAUACUUUCUAGUAUUAAUCAUUAAUGAACAAUUUUUUAUUUCAUCGCCGUCUAGAUUGCUUUUAUCUUAUACAAAUUUAUUUAAAACCUUUAAAUAGUUUCUAACCACUAUAUAAUUUUAUCUGUCGUCCUUAAUCUUGUUAUCCACAACUGACCAACAUAUUGUUACCUACCAUUAUAGUUGUGUAAUUCACCUUUUGUUAACUGACUUCACUAAUAUAUUUUAAAAGAAACGUGGCCAUCUGUUGCUCGUUGGAUCACUUGCUUUUAAAUCCAAUAAUUCCGUGAGAUAAAGACAAAACGCUUGCUAUAGCGCUACAGUUACAACAUAGACGUGGCCGUAGAGGCGAGAAAAAAAAUCUAUUUGUUUAGUCACUGUACACUUUUUCAUUCAUUUUGUCCGCUUCCAAAUCCUCGGGAGAAACAACACAAAUAAAAAAAAGAUUUUAAGAAAUUUGAUGCCUUGUUCGCCGAAUCUCUCCACUUUUAAAUAGUGUCGUGAUCCUGAUCGUGUGAUCUGGUAAUGGUAUGACAAUUACUUUGGAGAAAACACCGGCCCACUUUUAAUAAAAUAAAUUUUAUACCAAACGAAUCAUAAGGCAAAAACACUGCACUUACCUAUCCAUACUGAUUAAACUCCCUCACCAUCACAUUUUAAUAAUGACAAUUGGUUGUGUUAGCAUUUUGGUCAAAAGGCUGGACCCCCCCGCCCCCACAAAACAAACAAAAAAAAAUUAUGAUAAUAAUUAACAUUCAUAAAUAAAAAUUAAUAAUGGGUGUGUUAGCAUUUUGGUCAAAAGCGGGUUUGACCUUCACAUUAAUUGGAAUUUUGGAUCUAUAAUAUGAUUUUCACCGAAAAUAUAAUUUUGCCGCUAAUUAUUUGGGUAAUCAGAUAAUAAUAACAAAAAAAUGUUAUCUCUCACCUAUAACUUGAGGAGAUAAUAAUAAAAGUCUUUCAUCAUAAUCUACUGUUAGUUUCUCUUCUUCAUUUUUUUCUCCUUUGAAGUCUUUCAACAAAAAUGGGUGGCAUCAUCUCAACCUUCUUCUCAGCGGACACAAUUCGUCCAAUUUUAUUUUACGUCGGUGGACAAGCAAAGUAUAUAUGGGGUCUUAAAGGUAAUCUCGAUGACUUGCAGACUCAAAAGGAGAACUUGAUUGCGAAAAAACAAGAUCUGCUGAAUAAGGUUAAGCUUGCCGCGCAACAACCCCGAAUCAGACGGACGACGACGGUGGAACUUUGGUUUAAAAGGGUGGAAGAAAUGGAAACUAAAGUUGAAAAUCUGCAAAAAGAAGGAGAUCAACAGGUUGAUAGACUGUGUCUUGGAGGCUUCUGUUCCACGGACUUGAUUUCAAGCUACGACUUCGGCAAAAAAGUGGAGAACUUGAGAGAAAAAGUGAUCGAACUGAAGAAAGAGGGGGAAGCAAUGAAAGAAGUUUAUGAGGGGGUACCAGAAGGUGCAGCGGUUGAAAAAGCUGUUGACCGAACAAUCGUUGGUCAAGAAUCAAUACUUGACCGAGUGUGGAGAUGCAUCACAGAUCAAGAAAAGAAUGAGGAAAUUAUUGGCUUAUAUGGUAUGGGGGGCAUCGGCAAAACUACUCUGUUAAAACAAGUCAACAACAAGUUCUGCAGUGAGGAGCAUGAUUUUGAUGUCGUUAUCUGGUCGGUUGUAUCUAGAGAGCCAAACUUGAAGCAGAUUCAAGAGGAUAUUGGGAAAAGGAUAGGCUUCUCAACAGAUUCAUGGCAGGGAAAAAGUUUUGAAGAAAGGGCUUCAGACAUCACCAACACUUUAAAGCAUAAGAAGUUUGUAUUGUUAUUGGAUGAUAUAUGGGAGUCCGAAAUUGAUUUAACAAAAUUGGGCGUCCCUCUUCGGACACUAGAUUCUGGGUCCAGAAUAGUCUUCACAACUCGUUUUGAGGGUACUUGUGGUAAAAUGGGAGCCCAUAAGAAUCGGUACAAAGUGUUUUGUUUGGGAGAUGACGAUGCCUGGAAAUUAUUUGAGGGGGUGGUCGGGAGUUACGUUCUUAACAAGCAUCCCGACAUUCCGAAGUUAGCCGAGGAUGUGGCACGUCAGUGUCAUGGUUUGCCGCUGGCCCUCAAAACAGUAGGUAAUGCCAUGGCGAG
rnacentral:lncRNA from 1 species